UUAUUUUAGGAAUUUUGGGAACAUUUCAACAAAGGAGAUCUUUCACAGAUCAAACGAGACCUAAGACUUAAUCUAAAAGAAAUUAUUAGAUUGAAUCUAUUUGCAUUAAAAAAACCGAUCAAAAAAGGACGAGCGAAGUAAGUAAUCGAAAAACUUUCUUCUUUGUUCGUCCUAUCUAUAAGAGGAGAGCAUAUGAAAAAUGUAACACAUUCUUUUGUUUUUUUAGCUCACUGGCCAUUCGCUGGGAGUUUCGGGCUUAAUACCGAUAUUUUAGCAACAAAUCUAUUCCCCCUACAUAUUUGAUUUCUUCUCCUAUACAAAAACUAGCAAGACCUACUCCAUUGGUAAUUCCAUCAAUGACACCUUUAUCAAAAAAUGUGUUAGUUCGGCUAAUCUUCUUAUACCUAGGAUAAAAACCCUAGUAUAGAAAAAAUCUAUAUAACCACGAUUAUAUGACCAGUUGUAUAUCUUUUUUUUACUUCAUCCAAAAAGCUCUUUUUUGGAUUCUUUUUUACAAGGGAGUUUUGAAAAUUCAAAUUCUAAAAAAAAGAAUAAGCAGAUCCAUAAAAUAUAUAGAAUAGAAGAAUCUCGAUUUGUCAAGUCUCAUGAUCGUAUCAAGAUCUAUUUCAAUUCGGCUCAGUCUUUUUUUAGAAAAGAUUGAGCCGAAUUGAAUUGCAAUGAAUUAGAGGAAUAAAGAAGAAUUACUGCAUUUCUUAACUUAUUUUUUCUCUUUCUAUUUUGCUUUUUUUUAUUUUAUAUGGUAUCCAUCGCUUUGAAACCAUCAAAUUUGAUCUCCUUCCAUAUUUCACAAGCUGCGGCUAGUUCAGCACUCCAUUUUCAAGUUGCUUUGAUAAUUUCAUUACCUUCACGAGCAAGAUCGCGCCCUUCGUUACGAGCUUGUACACAGGCUUCUAAAGCCACACGAUUAGCUGCUGCGGGCAGUUAGCAAUAAUCUUUCUAUGGACGUCCGGAAAUCUGUUUCAUGUAGCUUGGCAAGGAAAUUUUGAAUCAUGGAUACAGGAUCCUUUACACGUAAGACCUAUUGCUCAUGCCAUUUGGGAUCCUCAUUUUGGGCAACCCGCUGUGGAAGCCUUUACUCGAGGAGGUGUUGUCGGUCCAGUGAAUAUCGCUUAUUCUGGGGUUUAUCAGUGGUGGUAUAUAAUUGCAGCAGAGUUGCAGGCUACCCUGUGGCCACCAUCUUACAAGCCACCUCAUCUCCCCAUGUAUGAUGGGCACUCAGAUUCGAAGCAGUUCUUGAUGAGCUACGAGGCUACCAUAUCCUCGUAUGGGGGCAAUACUGCUGUCAUGGCGAAGUCCUUUGUUAUGGUAGUCAGAAGUGUGGCUCAGACAUGGUAUUCUUCUCUUCAGCCGAGGACAAUUACGUCGUGGUAGAAGUUAAAGGAUAUGCUAGUCACCAGCUUCUAGGGCUUCCAGACGAAGCUAGUCACCGCCCAAGCCCUCUUCCAGUGCACACAGGACCAUGAGGAGUUCCUGUAGGCGUACGUCCAAAUGUUGUUGCAACUGAGAGCUCAGGCACCUACAGUACCCAAUGAGAUUGUCAUCGAAGCCAUGAUUAAGGGGCUUCGACCAGGACCCACAGCACAAUAUUUUGCAAGGAAGCCACCACAGACCUUGGAGAAGCUCCUCCAGAAAAUGGAUGAAUACAUCCGAGCUGACAACGAUUUUCGCCAAAGAAGGGAAGAAGCGUAUAGGUAUUAUGAGAUGACUAGGGGCUUCGGAGGAAGACUCCACCCAGGCAUGUCAGAACAAUUCACAAUCCCAACACAAAUGAUGACAGGGCCAAUCAUACACAGAGUAGCCAACACAGCGCACAGUCUUCGGGAAUGCAAGAAACUUCCUACAGGCCACAAGCCCCGAGAGGCAGAGGGGGGAGGAACUUCGGAGGAAGGUAUGGUAAUCAGCCCAAGAAACUAUUCUGCCUAUUAUGUGGCAAAGACAAGGGACACACCACAAGGACGUGCCAAGUCACGAUCCAGAAGCAGAAAGAGAUAGCUGAAGCUGAAGCAAGGCAGAAUCAGCCGAAGUAGGUCCUGCAUACUGCUUCGUGCUAUUCCCCAUACAUUCCCGAGUAUGUGGGCAACCAACAUCCCACAGCAUCAGUUGCUUCGGCAAGCCACUCUCAAGCUUCAUGGGUCCCGCUACCACCACCACCACCUAUGGCACCAGCCUUGACCCACAAUCAGCAGCUAGAAGAGCACCACCAAACACAGCAAUAGCGUGACGUGCGUGAAGAAUCCGAAGCUAGCACAGUCAACAGCAUUGUGCCCGAGUCGAGGCACAUUUACUGAAGUCAUACAAGGGCUCCAUCACAAAAUUUUCAUACUUAAUGUACUCUUUACCUUUCUGUCCUUAUGUUGCUCCCCCCAAAGACAAUAUAAGAAGGUUUAACCUUCGACCUGUUGUAAAAAAUUUUUGGUUACACCAUCGAGUGUAACAAGAAGAGUGAUGAAGCUCCAAAGUCGUUCCUAAGUGAAUGCAGAGCUAAGAUACCACCUAAGUAAAAGGUGAAGAAACUCCAAAGUCGUUCCUAAGGGGAUGCAGAGCUUAAAUGCCACCUAAUUAAAAGGUGAAGAAGCUCCAAAGUCGUUCAUAAGGGGAUGCAGAGCUUAGCUCCAAAGUUGUUCCUAAGGGAAUGCAGAGCUGAAAUACCACCUAAGUAAAAGGUGAAGAGACUCCAAAGUCGUUCCCAAGGGGAUGCAUAGUCUGAGUGUGUAUUCGUGUGGGUUUUUACCUUUGACAUAAACAUCAUUUGCAUCAUACCAUCAUAUCAUAUCGCAUAGCAUCGCAUCAUACAUCAUUUUGGAUCAGCAUAAAGCCGUGGAGAAACAAGGAAAAGAUGUUUCUUCGAAAAUAUUUGUUGUAUCAUGAAAGAACAUGCUGUAGCACAAGAUAUUCCUUCGGCAGAUAUAUUUUUACACAGGAGGAGAAUCUUCGUCAGCAGUAUUACUACACAGCAACCGUGGCAUAAAACCCAGUAUUGAAUCCAUAAAAGGGGAGUCUUUUUCUUCGUGAAGCAUGAAAAGAAGGGAAGGUGUUUUUUCGCCAGCGGCUCAAAAACGGUAUGUACGAAGGUUUCAUGCAUCACAAAGAAAUAUAUACAUUAACACACAUAUGAAUACUUGAUGCUUGGUUCUUACAAAAGACGAAAGCCAUGUACAAACAUUAAACUCUCAAAUACACAAAGUUUUAAUUUUCUUUCAACACUUUCUCGGCGGCUUCAUUUAGAAGUCUAUCGACAACUUCGUCAACAGCUUCAUUAGCAAUUUUAAUCAUAUCUAGCGCUUCCUUCAAGCCCGGGUCGGCUUCGGGGUUGUAUGGCUCCGGUGGGGGUGAAAGUUCAGCUACAUCAUAAAAUAUGUUUGUUAAUUUUGAAGCUAAUAAUGAAUUACGAAGCUAAACCUCAAAAAAGGUACCUAUAAGCCUCGCACGCUCAGUAGCUUCUUCAGCUCUUUUGGCUUUUUCUUGAGCAUCAUGAGAUUCUUUUUCAUUCUUUCUAAUAGCUUCAUCAGUUAUCUCUCGAUCACCCUUCAUCCAUACUUCGGAGUAAAAUUUCCCACCUAAUGCAGAAGCUUCGGCUGAAGAGUUUUUAAUAUCAUCGGCUGAGAAAGCAAAAUCCGGCUGAACUACAGCCUUGGCAUGAUCGCAACCGACCUUCGCUAGAAUUGGUACAGCCCCGCGGGCACCGACGAAGGUGCAAAAAUCCCCUCUGUCACUUAGAAUUUCUUCAAAAGCUUCAACCUCACCACUGAUCCACUGGAUAACCCCAUCGGGGUCACCGUGGAUGAAUUUUUAUUCGGAGGAGAAGGCUCCAACUUUAGAGAAACUAUUCUUUAAAUUUUUAGCGCACUCCAUGGAUAUCUCAUGGCAUUUUUGUUUGCCCGCGUGAAGCUCAUCAACAUUCUUUUGUGCUCUUGAUCUUUCAGUUUCGUAUAUCUCAUGCUUUACUACUUCAACUUCAAAAUUUUCAGUUGCUUCGGCAACUUUCCUUUUUAGCUCUUGCACUUCGGCUUUGUGAGCUUCUACUUGAGCAGACAUAUUGGCUUCACUAGACUUCAGCCUUUCGACCAGAGAUAGCAAAAUUUUAUCUUUAGCAAGAGCUUCAUUCCUCAAAGUUAUAACCUCCAAUCAGAGAUUACCAAGUGCCAUUUGGCAACUCUCGUCUUUGGCAUCCUUUUGGGCCUUCAAAGCUUUACACAGAAUUAGACCCUGCAACACAAAACAAAAGAGUAAACAACAAAUGUAAGAACUGAUGGAUAACAGUUCGGAAAGAACUAAAACACAAAACCAAAAUUUGCAAACCUUCAAGCUAUUGAAAGAAAGGUUGUCCACAAGUUGAUCCUUUGUCAUGGCAGAUAAACCGAGCUCGAGCUUCAGAAAUCCCGUAUUGUUCAUCAUCUUACGACAGACGUUGAUUUCCUUAUUAUCAGGAAGACAAUAGAGGAAGUCCUCUUUGUCAUCCCCUCAGUAUACCAAGGACCCUCAGGGGUACUUUAGAUCCUUGGCAUAGUGUUGUACUUCGGCAAUCUGCUCUUCUAUUAAUUGCUUUCCCGAAGCAUGUCGAAUAAUAUAGUCCAAGUCACCCUGGGAAGGUGCUUCGGGAGCAGGUGCUGAAGGUUCAUCUGGAAGGCUCUCUUUCGUGGGUUUUUCUGGUAAGAUUUCUGAAGAGCCCGCUUCGGCGUGGGCAGAGGCACUAGCAGUACUUAUAUUUGGAGCUUCUUUAAUUUUACUCCCAGAAGCCUUAGGAGAAGAAGAAGGUGGUGUCCUCGCAGAUUCUAAAACAGCCUCCAAAACGCUCGCCAUCCUCCUUUUCCUUGGAGUGCCCGUGACACUUGGCAGCUUCGACAAUAUUGCUUCUUUCAUCUUCAGCGGCUCUAGUACUCUUCCUGUCAUUGACUCUGACUCUCCGGUCAGGCCUGCAAUAAUUCCAAUAGGCACAAUAGGAGUAGCCUCUAUUGACCGAGGGGGUUGUUUCCACCAUUUCAUUUAACUUUGGCACCUCGGUCGUCUCAAUGCACUUGGGACGGCGCGUCAAAACUUUAACCUUCUUCGACCUCGACACACUAGAAGUUGCCGAGGUAGCAGCAUGGGAUAGCAGUAGUCUGGGUACACAAACCCAAUAACAUCAAACACCCUGUUCAAUCUCUUCUUGCCCCGAGCACCGAAGGCAGUUGUCAUAGCUUCGUCUUUGGCCUCUGAGUACGAUCCAAGUAGCUCAUCGCUAGUUGCCUCUAUAACAUCUAGCCAAUCUUCAUUAGGUUCAUCAAACUGGCUUCUGUAUCGAAUGGUAUACUUCAGAUAGACUAAGCCAUUUUGACUGGAGCCAGUGAUAGCCUCCUUCGGCAUUUCCCAUCCGUUGGCAAGUGGCCAUACUCUGUAAGCAAUAUGCUCCUAGACCAAGUCGCUUAUGCCGAUAUAAGUGCACACUAUGUUAAAAGCUAUCUGACACGCUUGCACGUCAUUCCCAAGUGCAAUGAGUGGCCUCCUAAUGCCGAAGCGAGACCAUAUAGGGCACUGAAUAAUCCCUUUUACAUCCUCCCUUUGACUCAGGUCAAUCUUCACAUAAAACUAUUUCUACAUCCAAGAGCCUGGCCAUUUUUUCAAAAUGUCGGCACCAAAUAACUGGCCUCUGAGCGGGGCACAAAGCUGUAACAGCCGAAGUUGUUAUGGUAUUGCUCUUUUCUGGUUGCCUUCGUCUGGUAAGAUAACUCGUGAAUAUUACAGAAGCACUUGCCAUCUGGCUCCUCAUGGCCCAUAUGAAAACCCUUACUUUGAUAAAAGCUUUGGGGGUAAGUUGAUGAAGAUAAAUUUCAAAAGUUUUUAUAACUUCGACCAACAUCUUGUUCAGGGGGAACCGAAGUCCAACUUUCAUGAAGCUUCUGAAAAUCACAACUUCAUCAGCUUCGGGAAGAGGAACGGUACUCUCCCCUCCAGCCCUCAUGAUGGAAAUGACACGAACGUAUCAGUUGGGGACUUGUUAUCAAAUGCUAUGAGUCAAGAACAAGGCAACACAAAAAAUGUUAAAUGUUAAUGCCCUUCGUCCUUUGAGACAUUAUUUCCCUUAGGAUAUAAUGAUCUUUAGACGAAGGUCAUGAAGGACAUACCUUCAUCAUUGUAGCAUACGAUAAUAAUAAAAGGAGAAUCAUAUGGAAUGUAAGAAAUAACAUGAACAAUUAUGUAACAUUAUCAACUCAUUUCUAUUUUAUUAUCAUGGAAAAAUAGAAAUGAGUUCAAAUUACAAAUGUACCUUCGGCUUGAAAGAAGGUAAAGAUACAAGCGUGAUGCAAAAGCAAAAUGUCAAGUCAGCGUGAACAGUAUGGGAGCACUAUUCAUCUAUUUAUAGGCACGGGACGCAGCCCAUGUAAAAUUACACUCAUGCCCUUUACAUUUGCUAAUGACUCUAUAGUGAUCCAUCGAGGUCUAAAUAGCAUUUUCCCUUUUAAGUCGGUUCCCUUUUCUGCUAUCAUGCUGAAGCUUCCUUGCGCAUAGCUUCGGCUCUGCGUCAACCUUCGUAUUCUUUGUGCUUCUCACACUGUGGUUCUGAUCCAAGUCCGAAGGUACCUGUUCAUGUAUUACACUCCAGAAACAUUGUUAAAUCAUGUUUUUGAGGAGCUUCGGAAGAUGAAGGCCCCCAACAGUAGCCCCUCGCAAUAUUAAUUUGUUAGAAUAACGAAUUCAGAUCGCGAUAUGGACGAAGGCCCUAAGCCGAAGGUCCAAAAAAACACCUUCCCUUUGCUAGAAUAGCAACAAUCAAUGACAGACGGGGCCCUCCAAUUUGGAGCGCACUGGGCGUAUAAAUAAGAACUCACCCCGAGCACAUUUGGUAUGCUACUUGCCGCCUGUUUUUGUUCGCUCAGUUUUCUAGCCCUUGCUUACCAGUGCUUGUUUAGUUUCUUAGACUUUCUAAGCUUCAGCUUUAAGGACACAUUUUCACCAUUUCCGAAGAAAAGAUGUCUCAAGACAAAAAGGUUGUUGCUGAGACGAAGCUGAGCGAAGAGGAGAAGCUCCUUGAGGAGAAGACUGCUGGAUUUGUUGAAUCAAUAGCAAAGACAAAUACAGAAAAGAUUACUAAGGAGAUUCUAGAAGGCUUAUCUGAAGAUACUGAUGACAGCGAUAGUUAUGAUGCGGAAAGUGGGGGUGAAGACUCUAAAGAUCGGCCCUGGCGACCAAGUCAUGCAGUUUUCGGAAAAUCAACUAUCAAACAGAGUCAUCUUGAUAAUAUGAGAGGAAGGUAUUUUCGAGAUAUGUCUAUUCUGAGGACUGACAUCGGAGACAGGACUGUUCCUGUUCCCGAAGAGAAUGAAGUCGUGAUCUACCGAAGCUUCUUCAAAGCAAGGCUUCGGUUCCCCUUAAGCAGAAUUGUGGUUGAAGUUUUAAAGAUAUAUCAGAUAUUCCUUCACCAGAUUACUCCCGAAGCAAUUAUCAGAAUGGGGAUCUUCGUCUGGGCCAUGAGGAGUCAAGGUUUGGAGCCAAGUGCAAAAUGUUUUUGCAGCAUGCAUGAACUUUCGUAUGAGACGAAGCCCUGGGGUAAAGAACAGUAUCAUAACAAUUUUGGUUGCUAUGGCUUCGUUGCUCGUUCUGGCUCAAGCUGCCCAGUGCCAACUUUUCGGAAGAGGUGGCCCGGGACCUGGAUGGAAGAGUGGUUUUAUGUAAAAAAUGAUUUGAAGGCGAGAGAAGAUAUUAAAGAGAUCAUCAUGCGACCAAUCUGGUCCUGCUUCGGCCUCCGCAAACCGAAGGUAGAGAUUGAUGAGGCAGCCGAAGCAUGCCAAAGGGCCUUCAGCACAGUUUGCGCUUUUAUUGGGACAAGAGAUUUAGUUCAAUAACAUGUAGCCUACAGGAUAUGGCCACUGAUAGAGAGCUGGGAAAUGCCAAAGGAAACCAUCACUAACCCUAGCGAAGGUGGUUUGGUUCGAUUAAAAUAUACCUUCAGGUUUGGAGACCAAUUUAUCGAACCAGACGAUGACUGGUUGAAGUGUGUUGAAAAUACUAGUGAUGAACUACUUGGAGCAUACUCCAAGUCUGAGGAUAAUGCACUAUCUGCGGCCUUCGGGAGCCGAAAAAAGAAGAGGCUAAGUAGAGUUUUUGAUGCUAUUGGAUUUGUGUACCCUGACUAUUGCUACCCGUCGCGGGGGCAAAAAAGAAAGGGUGCAACUUCUGGGAAGACUGCUGCUUCGGCUGCUUCAAGCAAGCCCGCACCAAAGAGGAAAAAGAUGAAGGUCCUUACUCACCGACCGCGCUACAUUGAACCGACCAUAGUGCCUGAAAUUGGCGGUGAGACUUCUUCAGUUGUUGAAGCCAAAGAACCUGCUCUUAUGCAGAGGAUUGAAGAGCCGGCUGCAAUGCUGAAGACUGACAAAAUUGAAGAACCGAGAAUCGAAGGGGUGAAAACACUAGAAGUUCUAAACCCUUUGGCAGAAGUGGAGGUGUCGAAGACACAAAAAGGUCUAACAACAACCCCCAAGAGAAAAAGGAUGGCUAGUGUACUUGAUGUGUUGGAGAUAAUAAAAGCUUCAAGCUCUACUCUGGGGAAGGUUGCCAAGGCUUUGAAAGCGCAGAUUGAAACCGAAACAAAGCUGACCGAAGCCAAAGCUACAAUGAGCCGGGCUAACGUCGAAGCUGGGCCUUCGGAGCCCGCCAAGGAGAAGUCCUCAGAAAUUGGAGAAAAGGCAGCAGAGGAAGAAGCUAUAGAACAUAUUUUGCCUAAAAAAGUUGUCGCUCCUACUCUCGAAGCGCCUUCCGAAGUCCUUGAUUAUAUUAUUCGACACGCUUCGGGAAAAAGAUUAUCUGAAGAGGAAAUUUUUGAAGCUAAACACUACGCCUGAGAACUGAAGUACCCGAAAGGGGCCUUAGUGUUUAACGACACAGAUGAAGAUGACUUCUUAUACUGCCUCCCAGACAACAAAGAAUUAUCUAUCUGCUGGGAGAUGGCCAGAAGUAUGGGGUUCCCGAAGCUUGAAGCUGGCCUCUGCGCCAUGACGAAGGACGAUCUUGCGGAUAGCCUUGCAUAUAACAGUCUAAAGGUACAAAAAUUGUGUAUUUGGUAGUUUAUGAUUUUUGAAUUAUUCUUUUGCUCUUAUACUAACCCAUUAAUUCUUUUCAUAUAGGGUUUAAUACUUAGCAAUGCCUUAAGGGCGCAAAAGAAUGCCGAAGACGAGAGUUACACUAUUGCUCUCAAUAACCUUCGAACAGAGGUUAUUAAGCUGAGGAACGAAGCUUUGGAAAAAGACCAAAUUUUGCUUACAUUGGUGGACAAAGUAAAGGGGGAUGAAGCUAACUUCAAAACCCAAUCUAAAGCCCAAAAAAUUGAGAUUGAUGACCUUCGAAAGCAACUAGCCGAAGCUAAAGAGAAAUGCGCAGUCGCAGAAGCUAAACGAGGAAUUAGCGAACAGUGGACAAAUCAUUUAGAGAAAAAUGUUGAAGAACUUCGCGUAUCCAGGGAAAGAUGCUUUGAAAAAUCUAUGAACUGCGUGAAAAAAGAUAAAAGCUAGCUUCGCCAAUGUUGGCGCAUAUUCAAGCGAAGAUAACUUCAUACAUGGCGACCCCGAAGGCCCAAUUGAGUGGAUCAGCAGCGAAGCCGAAGCUUUUGAAGAAAUUUUGAGUGACCGCGGGGACGUCUGCGCAUUCUCUGGUGCGAGGGGAAUUGCAGCUAUUUUAGAGAAAGCAGGAUGUGAACAUGUUGAAACUUUGGCUCAGGCCGAAGCUGCCUUCUCUAUUGAUGAUAUGAAGGACCCCUCGGCCGAAGCAAGCUUAAUAGGCGGAAAAUUUUUCACUGACAUCUGGGAAAAUGGCGGCCGAGGGAUGGCUCACGAAAUAAUAAAGAAAAGCGAAAAAGAUACUCAUGACACCAGAGAAGCAACAAAAGCAGCUGAAAAGGUUGCGGAGCUUGAGAGACGAAUAGGUAUUACUUAAUGAUUUUUAACUUUGUUGUUUACUUUUGUGACUUCGAACUAAUUUAUGUUUUCUACCGCAGCUGAACUAUCUCCUCCCCCAGAGCCCUUCGAAUUAUUGGCUGACCCAGAGACGAAGGAGGCAACAGAAAUUAUUAACAUGGCUGAAGGUAUUAUAGACGAAGUAGUCACCAAAUUACUGACCGAAGCUGCAGAAAAGGUCCUGAAGGAAGAAGAAUAGCUAUUUGUAAAAACAUUUCUAGAAUAUUAAUGUAACAUUUGUUGAACUGCGUUUGUAAUAUUUGGUGUUUACAGGCUUGAAUGUAAUAUAUGAAUGGUUUGUAAUUCAGUUCUUUGCGAUGCAUGAAACUUUUAUGUACAUACCGUUUUUGAGCCUUCGGCAAAAAAACACCUUCCCUUCUUUUCAUGUUUCGUAAAGAAAAGCUUUCAUGCUUCGUAAAAAAUCCUCCAAGCGUCAUAAAAACAUUAUUGCUUCGUAAACAAUAGAUUUCUUCGUCCACAUCAGAGCUGAUGAAGCUGUACUUUCUUCACAACAUAUUUUGUGCCUUAGCACAAUUUCACUUUUUCGAAGCAUUCUCCGAAGAUCAAUAUUGUAUCCCCUUCUUGUGACAUUGAUGCAAUAUGAUGUAUGAUGUUAUGUUAUGCGAAAUGAUGUAAUGAUGUUAUGUUAUGCGAAAUGGUGUUUAUGCCAAAGACACACUCACACCCCCAUAGUGGAAUACACAAUCUCUUUGCCGCUUAUUUUUCGGCUUCACCGCUUAUUUUUCUGUGUAACAGCGCUGACUUUUCGCUGUAAGUUCUGCAUUCCCUUAGGAACGUCUUUUGAACUUCUUCGCCUUCUAUUUUGGCGGUAUUCGCGUUGACUUUUCGCGCUUCGCCUUAUAUUUUGGCGGUAUUUGGCUCUGCAUUCCCUUUGGAACGAAUUUUGAGCAGAAAACUUACACUGUGUUCCCUUAGGAACGACUUUUUGUAGCUUCGGCAAACUUACACUGUGUUCCUUAGGAACGACUUUUUGUAGCUUCGGUGGUACUUGCAAUGUGGUUUUUAGCCCCGCAUUCCCUUAGGAACGACUUUUGAGCUUCAGCAAUUUUGGACUUCGUAAGUCUGUGGAGAAGGUAUAUUUCACCAUAGCAAGAACGAAGCUAUUACAAGAAAUUGAAAAUGACAAGAAAACUAGAUUUACAAUAAUUGUUCCUCAUUAAAAAAGAAAAUGACAGUGAAUAUAAAAACUGUUUUAGGAGUAGGAUAUCUCUCAAUAGAUAUGUUUAGAUUCUGGCACAGUACUGUUGACUGUGCGAGCUUCGGACUCCUCCCUGAAAUCUCGCUGCUGAUGGAUAUGUUGGCUCCCUUCUGGCUGUUGGCCUCAUGAAUAUGCAGGUUGUAGUGGUGGUGAAGGUGGAGGCUGUUGCCAAGAUGCCUGUGGUUGGCUAGCCGAAGCAACAAAAGCUGCAGGAUGGUUACCCACAUACUCUGGUAUGUAGGGUGAGUGGUACGAAGCAGUGUGCAUGACCUGCUUCGGUUGGUUCUGCUGAGCUACGACUUCUGCUAUUUCCUUCUGUUUCUGAAUGGUGACAUGGCACAUCCUUGUAGUAUGGCCCUUGUCCUCACCACAGAAUAAGCAAUAAAUUUUCCUAGGCUGAUCCCCAAACCUUCCUCCGAAGCCCCUGGCGCCUCUGCCUCUUGGAGCUGGCGACCGGAAAGAGCUUUGUUGUUGCCCCGAAGCUUGCGAGGAAUACUGUGGACUCUGUUGUUGACUUCCUCUAUCAUCACUCUGAGUAGAGUUAUGAAUUGACCUAACGUGCCUUAGGUGGAUUCUUCCUCCGAAGCCCCUAGUCAUUUCAGAGAACCUGUAUGCUUCCUCCCUUCUUUGGCGGAAGUCAUUGUCAGCUCGGAUGUAUUCAUCCAUCUUCUGGAGCAGCUUCUCCAAAGUUUGUGGAGGCUUUCUAGCAAAAUACUGGGCAGUAGGUCCUCGACGAAGCCCCUUGAUCAUGGCCUCAAUGACAAUUUCAUUGGGCACUGUAGGCGCUUGUGCUCUCAAAUGUAAGAACCUUCGAACGUAUGCCUGGAGAUACUCCUCAUGAUCUUGUGUGCAUUGAAAUAGAGCCUGAGCUAUGACUGGCUUCGUCUGAAAGCCCUCGAAACUUGUCACCAGCAUAUCCUUGAGCUUCUGCCAUGAAGUGAUAGUUCCUGGCCGAAGAGAAGAAUACCACGUUUGGGCCACAUUCUUAACUGCCAUGACGAAGGACUUAGCCAUGACAGCUAUGUUGCCUCCAUAUGAAGAUAUGGUUGCUUCAUAACUCAUCAAAAAUUGCUUCGGGUCGGAAUGCCCAUCAUACAUUGGAAGCUGAGGUGGCCUGUAGUUCUGCUGCCAAGGGAGAAGCAUCGUCAAAAGUAAAGGUACCAUGAUUAAAAUCAUCAUACCAUCCAUCAUCGCCGAACAGGCCUUCUUGAUGAAGCUCCCUGUGUUGGGGCCUUCGUCCUUGUUCAUCUUGAGCAAGAUGGCGUACUUCUUCAGUGGCUUCAUCAAUCUGCCUUUGAAGAUCAUCUAGUCGAGCCAUCUUUUCCUUCUUCCUUUGUAUUUGUUGAUGAAGCAUCUCCAUGUUUCUGAUUUCUUGGUCCAACUCGUCCUCCUGGAGUGUUGGACUAGUGGCCUUCCUCUUCUAGCUUCGGGCCUCUCGAAGAGAAAGGGUCUCCUGAUUUGGGUCCAGUGGCUGCAGAGCGGCAGCCCCUGGCGCUGAAACUUUCUUCGGUGGCAUGACGAAGGUCAAUGCUUGCCGAAGGUGGUCGAAAAGGAUUCACCGGAGGUGGGCGCCAAUGUUGGGGACUUGUUCUCAAAUGCUAUGAGUCAAGAACAAGGCAACACAAAAAAUGUUAAAUGUUAAUGCCCUUCGUCCUUUGAGACAAUAUUUCCCUUAGGAUAUAAUGAUCUUCAGACGAAGGUCAUGAAGGACAUACCUUCAUCAUUGUAGCAUACGAUAAUAAUAAAAGGAGAAUCAUAUGGAAUGUAAGAAAUAACAUGAACAAUUAUGUAUCAUUAUCAACUCAUUUCUAUUUUAUUAUCAUGGAAAAAUAGAAAUGAGUUCAAAUUACAAAUGUACCUUCGGCUUGAAAGAAGGUAAAGAUACAAGCGUGACGCAAAAGCAAAAUGUCAAGUCAGCGUGAACAGUACGGGAGCACUGUUCAUCUAUUUAUAGGCACGGGACGCAGCCCAUGUAAAAUUACACCCAUGCCCUUUACAUUUGCUAAUGACUCUAUAGUGAUCCAUCGAGGUCUAAAUAGCUUUUUUCCCUUUUAAGUUGGUUCCCUUUUCUGCUAUCAUGCCGAAGCUUCCUUGCGCAUAGCUUCGGCUCUGCGUCAACCUUCGUAUUCUUUGUGCUUCUCACACUGUGGUUCUGAUCCGAGUCCGAAGGUACCUAUUCAUGUAUUACACUCCAGAAACAUUGUUAAAUCAUAUUUUUGAGGACCUUCGGUAGACGAAGGCCCCCAACAGUAUCUCCCUUUCAUGGCUUGGCCUUGCUUAAUAGUCGACUAUCUAAAGACAACAUGGCUUGGCCUCCAUGGCCGGUCUUCGGCAUCUUCAUUUCCAAUUUCUACAUCAAAACUCUCGCUGUCGCUGGAGUUUUCAAAUAACCCAGCCAGCAUUUCAUUAGUAAUUUUCUCCGUAUUGGUUCUCUCCAUAGCUUCGUAGAAACCAGCCAAUGUAGGUUCAGUAAUCUUCUUCUCCUCAGCCAUUCAGACGACGGUUGUGCAGAUGCUGAAGCUCAAAAAAGUUAAUCAAGCUCCAGAAAGCAAAGAAAUUUAAAAUGGCAAACACAGUGCAAGCAACUAAAUGGCACCAAAAAUACUCACGACACAGGUCUCUAUAUAUACACUCAGAACCCCGCAGCGUGGUGGGUCCCACGGGUCAGAAUGAUUCACUAUUCUCGCGAAGGGAAGGUGUUUUUUCGGAACUUUAGCUAAAGGCCUUCGUUCACGUUGCAGUCUAAAUUUGUUACAAAGAAACAAAUCAAUACUGCGACGGGCUACUGUUGGGGGCCUUCCUCUUCUGAAGCACAUCAAAAACGCGACUAACCAUAUAAUUUGAGUAUGACAUGGAGCAUUACAGGAGGGCUUCGACUUAGCGAUAAAGAUGUAGCACAAAGAUAAUAAGAAUAGACGACGAAGCUACAGCCGAAGAGGUUCGGAUUGAUGUAAUGGCGAAGACCAAGUAUGAUGAUGACCGAAAUGGGACAAAGACUAUUCUAUCCUUAAUAACUCGUGUUACAUUUAUAGACGAAUGUCAAGGGCAUGAAUGUACUUUAACUCAGGCUGCGUCCCGUGCCUAUAAAUAGAUGAACAGUAGCAUCAUACUGUUCACGCUGAGUUGUAAUUACUUUCACGUCAGCACCUUCAGGCAAGCCGAAGGUAUCAAUGUAAUACAUAUUCUGUUAAUACCCAAGCGUAUUCUAUGAAAUGCAAAUAUGAAUAAAUCUAUGAGUCAAUGAGUUAUACUAACUGUUUUUCAUCUUUACGUAUUCUUGUUCAUUUAUAAGAUGAUGAAGGCAUGUCCUUCAUGACCUUCGUCUGAUGAUCAUUAUGUCCACGGGGAGAUAAUGCUUUGGGAGAUGAAGGUCCUUAAUACUUAACAAUUUUGUUGCCUUGUUCUUGAUUCAUAGCAUUUGAGAACAAGUGACCAACAGAUAUGGUUAUUGGAUGUACCCCAGGAAGGAGUGAUUUUGACAUCUGCUAGGUGAAGUCACAUGCCAUGGAAUUGGACAUCAUCUUUCGUUUCUCUUAUGCUCUUUGUUACUGCUUUAUAUGUUGGGGGGGAAAUCAUUUAUAGAUACCAUGAUAAGAAGCUCUGUUCUAGAUGACAUCUGUGGUUGUUUCUGUUUGCUUUUAUUGUGGAGUCUUUGGAAGGUGGAACAUAGUUAUUGCUGUCAGGGAGGUAGCCAAGAAUAUAGCAUAGUUUUGAAGUCAAGCUUACCUCAUUAAUCUUGUACUAAGAAAAGGCUAGGCGUGUUUCUUAGGUCCUGCCACACUGAUUGUGAUCACUUCUCUGUUCUCUAUUCAACAAUUUUUUUAAAUGCACAACUCUUUAGAAAUGCCAUGAUCUUCAUAUACAAAGAUUUAUGAAUUUUUAAUUAUUAAAGGCACUGACAUAAGUAUCUUUUCUUUGUUUUCUUGCACAAUUUAGGACUCGUCACAAUGGUCGAUCGUCAAACCUUAGCCAUCUUAUGGCCAAGGGCUAGACCUUCAUGGUCCUAGACAUCAAAGCUUGAUAAACGGGUACAACUUAACCGAUGUUGUCGUAACUGGCAAGUGCUUUCUUCUAUCUUGCAUAUAGGGUUUCCAGUUCUGUUGGGGUUCUUUAGUCAAAAUUUGAUGGCUAUGCCACUUAUUCUAGGGAACAAUGGAGUUAUUGAUGGCCAGGGCUUGGUAUGGUAUUAUUGGUUGUGCUCCCAUGAGCUGCACCAUAGCCAACCCAACCUUCUAGAGUUCCUGUAUUCUAAAGAUAUUGUGAUCUCAAACUUGACGUUCUUAAAUUCAUCAGCCCGGAGCAUACAACCGGUGUACUGCAGGUGCACCACAAUUAACUUAGCUCUGUGCAUAAGGUGUGGUUUGAUGAAUAUUAGUUGCAUCUGUGCUAAAGCAUAGUGUCUUUGUAUUCUCCAGUUAUGUAAAGGUCCAGAAUGUGACGAUUGAGACCUCGUUGGACGCUCCACUGACUGAUGGCAUAGUUCUAGGUAUGAUUUUUUUCUCUAGGCUGAAUGGACCUUUUUAUGAUUUAUUUUCAUAUAGCAUAGAUAUUUGAAUGCAUUCUUGAUGGUAGGCUGGUAUUAUUUAGUGACUUAGUGCUGAAUGCAACAAAAAACAUCUUGAUCCCUGAAGAAAACUGAUUCUCCUUUUCCCUUUCUUGUUGUACUUGGUAGCAUCAAAGCCUGGAUCACUCGACAGGUCUUAAUAUAUUUUUGUCCGCUUUUAUUAUUAUAGAGAUCACUCGGCAGGUAGUUAUAUCUAGGAGAUGUUGUGGUAUUUUAUAUGGAUCCUAGAUUAGGUAAUGGGAUGCUGGGAACAGAUAGCGGUGCAGUUCUUCGAGGAAGCUGUCUUUUAGAAGUGAUGAAAGAUUCUGCUCUCCUAAAAGGGACACCUAAAUAUUGGCCCAUCACCCUUGGCUAUAAAUUUGCAUAUUAUGAUAGAUUAUAUAUACACGGGAAUAUAGGAAUAUGUUUACUCUAGAACUAAGAAAAGUAGGAAGUCACCAUCUAAUAUGAACAUUACGACCACAAGAAACGACAAGAACACAAACAAAAUGGUGCUAUCAGAACAUGACGAACACAAGCAUGGAGAUCCGGAACCAAAACCUUUCAUAUGUGCAUGUUUAGAUCCCUUACAAUAGUGUUAUAUACUACAUACUAGGAACCAUUAUUUUUUGAGGUUAGUACUUGACUGUCCUCUAUUUUAUGUUUAGCAUCAUGUGGGUUUAGUGGACUUGGACUGUGAGUUGCCACACAUUUACCAAGGUCAAGAACAUUGGCUUUGCUGAAGUUCUUUCUGAAUUAUAUCAUUUGGAUGCUUCAUGCAGAUGAGAUGUAGGUUGGGCCAGCCAGGACGCUUUUCAUGGAUAAUAUCUCAACUGGGCUUGAUAGCUCUCUAUUACAUUCCAAAUUAUGAACUCGCUCAGGCAGUCCAUUCACAUCCUCAGUGGCAUAACUGCUAUCUCCCUACUGUAGUCGACUCCUGAGACAUAUAACUUGUUUGAUGACAUCAUACUUUUCUCAGAUGGUCAGGUUGUCUACUAGGGUCCUAGAGAAGAAGCGCUUGAGUUUUUGAGUCUGUAGGUUUCAGAUGUCCUGAUAUUAAAGCGUCACUGACUUCCUGCAAGAAGUAUGUAUCGUGCCACCAUAUUUUAGUAUACAUAAGUAUAUAAAGUUCUUGUUAUCUUAUCCUCUUUUGAAACUUUUAUUCUGGUCUACUCAAAAUUAAUAGAGAUUCCGAGGUGUAAAGCCCAAAAUUGGUAGGAAAAUAAUAAUAAUAAUAAUGAAAUAAAUAAAUGAAUAUAUUUAAGAUAGUGUUCUAGGGAUUUUUGAAACCUUUGGAUAUUAUUGGGUUUCUCAUGCUUUUGGAUGUCUAAUUGAAUAGAACUAAGUUAACCAAAUAACAAAAUAAAUAGAUAUAGAAUCAUGCACCUCAUGGUGGAGUUCUUGCAUUUUACCUUUGUACUCAAAAUUUUGAAACAGGUUUAAGUAUGAAAAGUAGAAUUUGUAGCACCCAAAAAUAUUAUUAUGGAAUUCUAAUAAAAUAAUACGAACCAUCUCACCUUUUAAGUCACAUCUUCUAAAAUAAAUAUAGCUAAUAAUAAAAGAUUUAAUGAUCUUAUAUAAAUUAAGUUAUUCUUUUGGAUAAAAUGUUUAGAGAUAUUAUCUGAAAUGGUUGGGUUAAACUAACUCUUAAUAAAUUUGCGCAAGAGAAAUUAAUUCAUUAAAACAUAUAUUUGGUGUGUAUAAAAUAUACUCUUAGAAGUAUUUGCUUAAAUGAAUAAUGCAAUGAAUAUAAACAAAAUAAACCUUGCACUCAUGCUUGGAGUUUUAUCUGUGCAUCUAAAAGUAAAAUCUUAGAAUUCAAACUUGAGUUUGAUUUAAAUUUAAAAUAGAAAUCAGAAAAUAAAAAGGAAAAAAAGAAGAAUUACCUCGAGUAUGGGCCAGAACCUCCCCUUCAGCCCAACUCUCCUCGGAGCGCCAUUUGGGCCAAACCCACUUCGUGGCCCAUCCUCACACAUGACUGCACUUUGCACCCGUCACCGUCGUGCGGGCCCCAUUUCGCGGACCAUAACCUUGCUCACAUUGACCUGCGGGGUCCUCUAAUCAGCGCCCCAGCCUCUCACACGUACUAGAUCGCUCUCACUAUCGCGGGCCCAGCGUGACAGAAUCUCCUCCUCCGAAACAAACGAGUAUACAGACUUGUGGCGUCUCUCCGCCAAGUGGGCCUGGACAGCAGCUCGAUCUUCCUCCGCGCAACAGAACACCGCCGUCCGCGCCGGGAAUCACGCGACAUCUUGGCCGGACACCCCGCCUCCACCGAUGGCCUAUAAAACUCGGGUCCUCUCCCUCAUCCAUUGGCACCCGGAUUCCAUAAAUCAAUGCACGAAUUGGGGAGAGGUAGAAGCCCGCCCUGAUCGCCGCCAUUGUCGUCGGGUGGCAUCGUGGGGAAACGCGGCGUCUGCUGAGGGUUGAGGUCGGGACUAGGCUCUAGGACCUAAGGGUCUCGACCGUGCGAGUUUCUGGUCAAGCAGUGGCCCUCCACGGUGUUUCUCGUACAACGGUGGUCAUUUGGGGCGUCACCGUGUCAGAGAGCCGACGCACCGCCCAUGGUGAACCUGGGUGCCCAACCGUGUGAUUGGAUCGGGCAGGGUGGAGAUUUGGUGCGUAUUGGACAUCCGGAUGGCCUAACUUCUUCACUGUCACCCAACACUACCGCAAUGCCGCACUGCAGCAUGGUCACACGAUUCGGUGCUGCCACCAUAGGUAAGGAUUCCCCUAAUGUAUUCACCACUCUUCGGACAUCACGUAGGAGUAAUCAUGGUGGGUUUUGGUUGGGGGAGCGCCGAAUUGGGGCCGCUCCGGCCAUGGGCGCCGCCGUGAUGAUGGGGCUGCCAUGGUUGGGUUGAGUUGGGGAAGAUGAUCAUCUGACCGCUCGUCUCAAAACGGACGACCGUGAUGGCAAUGCCGCAUACCCGCUCAUGUUGUUACAUCCUUACCGUAGAUCGGCUUAUGGAGGGGUGAGAGGUGAUCCUGGUGUUUAGUGAAUCUAGAGCAUUGAUCUCUGAUCCUAGGGCCUGGAUUGAGUACCGGUUCAAGUAAAAGUAGAUCUAAUAUGUGCCAUCCAUAUAUGAUCAAACGGUUGAAAUACAUGUAUACCCCUUCGUCGUGCACUUCUUUCAAAAGAGACCCUUUGUUUUAUUAAAACUAACCCACCGUCCUGCACUGUGCACUCUGAGUCUUAGAGUUUUUUCGCACAGAGGCCCCUGUCUUUUCCGAUAAUUGACGCGUAGUCUAGAGCUAUGGAAAAUAAGAAAAAUGAACCUAGAAAAUGAUUUUAAUAUAAAAAUAAAUCCUAGAACUCAUUUAAUUCAUAGAAAACUUAUUUUAAAUCCUUUUUAAUCCAUUCUAGUGGCAAUAAUUUGGUAUUAAUAUUUUUAUCACCUAGUAACUCUAUUUAGCCAUGAAACCUGGAUUCAAAUUAUUCACUUGAUUUAUUCUAAGCACUUAAUAACUUCGGAAAUUCAUAACUCCUCCGUUUUAAUUCCGAAUUGACUCGUUCUAGUUACGUUAGCUUCAUAUAAAUAAUUACUACGCACUAGCAACAUUGUUUAUAUGAUAUAUCAUACUUUUAUAAUUAGGUAACUAGUUUGAUUAAUCUAUGUUUUCGUGGUUAGCUUAUUCUAAUAUUAAUAUAGUAUCAUGAUCUUAGGGUUAUCUUUGGCCUAAAAGAUGAUUUAUAAUCAAGUAAUGACUUAGAUUAAAGUUGAGUUAACUAAUUAUCAGAUAUUCUCUCGUAUGAUGUAUACUAAUCAAUUUAUAAUAUAGUUUAAUUGCAUAGAUCUUCCGUAAAUUAUAACUUUCUAAUCAUAACUCCGAAUUUAGUGGUUCUCGAACCCACGAUCUCGUAGCAACGUGUAGAAUAUUCUUAUACAUAUUGUUCUUAUGUUUGGUGUGAUGUUAAUUUUACCUAUACCAUUUUUGUUUGUAUUGCUACGUUUAGCAGUGAGGUCACAGGCCACCUGAAGAGCAAGUUGGUACCUGGAAUCUCAAGUCCUAGGCAAGUUGUGCCCUUGAUCACUUCUUUUUCCCCAAUCAUGUUAUUAUUAAUCAUAAUGAUCUGCAUAGGUUAAUUUUGAUGGGACCCAAUAGGUCACCCUAGUUUGGCUAUCUUUAUACCUUGUUUACCACUGAAUUUUUGGGUAGUACCUGCUAUUGCUUUAUGUGGUUUUGGGUAUGGAGAUAUACAUUAUUCAUGAUCCUACUUUUAUUAUCAGUUUGUUAUUUACUAUUCAUGAUAAGAUCAUUAUGUUAAUUGGAACAUGGAGAACCACCCGAGGAAAAAGUGCUACCACAAGGGUGGUAUGGGACGCCCUUGGCUGACUAAUUAGGAAAGCUAGUGGAGGACUACCUUACCUGAAAGGGGCAAGGGCAGUAGGGGAGUGGUCAGUGUGGGUAGGCCCUUGGGUUGAUUUUGCUGCGAUGGCGGUCAGGCGAGGGUCCCUGCAUUGGAGCUUCCUAGAAACUGUAGCGGGUUUUCUGAAGCUAGUGGAACUUUGUAAAGGCCUCGUAGUGUUACCCUGCCUUGCUUCCUUGGUAGAGGUGUAUGGGAAAUCACGAUCCCUUGGUAGAUGGGUAACAUGACUUGUGGGUAAAGAUGUGCAACCUCUGCAGAGUGUAAAACUGGCAUACUAGCCGUGCUCACGGUCAUGAGCAGCUCGGACACUCACAUGAUUAAUUUAUGGAACUAAAUUCAAUUUGUCAUAUGCAUUGCAUCACAGGUGUUGUUAUUACUUUUGUUCUACUACUUAAUUGGGUUGGUAUUUACUUAUACUUAGUAACUGCUAAUAAAAUUUUGACCAACUUUAAAAGCAAUGCUCAGCUUCAACGAUCCUCUUUGGUAAGCCUUACACUUCACGUGAGUUCCCACCUUUGGCGAGUUCAUGCACAUUAUUCCCUACAACUUGUUGAGCGAUAAACGUAUGUGAGCUCACUCUUGCUGUCUCACACCCCCCCCCCACUGGUCAAGAACAGGUACCGCAGAUGAGGAGCAUGGAGGAUGCUGUGACAAGUUCGUGAGAGGUCUAGGUCGUCGUCUCCCAGUCAACUUUGGGUUGCUGGAUUGUUGUCUCCUUUCGAUGUAAUUAUUUAUUUAUUUUGUACAGAACUCCUAUUAUAUAGUAAAGAUGUGACAUUCGUUUUUGUAUCAUAUGUGUGAGACUUGGUCCUAGCCCACCUGGUGAUUAUGUUCGCGCCUAGGUCUUGGUGCCCCGAAACCCGGGUGUGACAGAAGUGGUAUCAGAGGAAUGUUGACUGUAGGAUGAAACCUAGAUAGAACUGGACAACCAUUAUUUACUUACCUUUGCUACUCUGAUUAUUUCUAAACUUUUCUUAAUCUUUUCUCAUCUAUUUUCGCUUUACUCUGAUUAUUCUUACCUCUUCAUUCUAAAGACAAAUGUGGAUUUCACACUUUGAAAUCCUGUGCCUAAAGUGACCUUUAGGAAUACGAGACCUACUCUUAGGAACAAAAACAAAACUAAUUUUGUAGGUAUCUAUACGCUUAACUGUUUGUUCUUAUGUACUUGCCUGAUUUGGAUCUUUGAUUGAGUGUGAUGGGUUGUGGAGCAAUGUCCACAAUUGCAUGUGCAUAUACACCUAGACAUAAGGGAAAAUAUUUAUAAAAUAGACAACACAGAAUAUUCCCUAUUAAAAAUAUAUCUAGUUUAAUAGAUCCAUCUUAUCUUAAAAGACUCUCACUUAUCUUAAUAGGUCCACCUUAUCAUGAAGGAUUAGUGUUAUCCUAACCACUUUACUUAACUCAUCGUAAAGAAACAACCAGGAUCUAAUCCAAAAUAAUGUGAUCAAAUCUAAGUUAUAUUUGAGUGACCAAAACCACUUGAUUUAUCCCACCAUGAUCAUGAUCUAACCCAAAUUAAUUGGAUCUUAUCUAGUCGAAGCUAGUCAUACCUAGAUCUGAUCUAAUGUGAUAGAUUAAUCUAACCUAACGAAGGAUAAAGUGGAGCUAAUCUAAUGUAAGUUGCUGAACAGGAAGGUUAAUACUAAUGAAAUGGAUUAGACUCUACUCCUAUAAAAUAUGUUUAACUUAAUUCACUCUACACUAAGUUAAGAAUGACUGACCAACUCGGCCUUAUGCAACUACCUUAACCAUCCGAUGGUUGCAUAACCCCUCUGUGCUAACCCAUCAGAGAUUCUGACUUACCUACACCAUAUAAUCUAUUCUAUCUCAAAAGAUUAUAACAUACCCUACUAAUUUUUAUUCUACCCUAGUAGAUCUAUCUAACUUAAACUAGGCUAAUCUAGUCAUAUCCAACCUAAUCUGGAUUUUAUCUGAUCUAAUAUGAUCUAAUCUAGAGUGAGUUACUUAAUGUCGGUACAAAAGAUAAGGCCAUACCCCUAUUUCACAUAAGCCUAAAUUGGUGACUUAGAUCAACUCGGCCAUAUACCCACGACCUACACAUUCUUGAUAAAUUGCAUAAUCGGUCUAUCUCCAUCUAACAUCAAGCAAACUUUUGACCUACAUCAUGUAGUCUAUUUCCUCCAUAUCUAUCUCAACCAUAUUCCCCAACUCCGAUAAAAUACAGUAACCUCGAAUCAACGAGACCAAGACCGGAGAAGAAAAGAUCAACAUCGACAAGAAAGGAUAUAACACUCAAAGCGAAUCUCGAGAUGAAUUAGGACUUAAACAUUUUGGAUAAAGACUUUUGCUUGCCAUAAUCUUUAUUACCUCAACCUGUCCAGUUUAUAUCCUACAUAAUAAAUAGUUGGAUACAUAUGCCCUCCUAAUCACCCAUUAUAUAUUAUAUAUAAAAAAAGUAAGACUCUAGACUUUUGAAACAAUUAUAGACUAAAAGUUUAAUUACAAACCAAUCUUUCUAUAUCCCUUUUCUCACAAAUCUCGAGGACGAGAUUUCUGUUAAGGGGUUAAGGAUUUGUAAAGCCCAAAAUUGGUAGGAAAAUAAUAAUAAUAAUAAUAAUAAUAAUAAUAAUAAUAAUAAUAAUAAUAAUAAUAAUAACAAAAUAAAUAAAUGAAUAUAUUUAAGAUAGUGUUUUAGGGAUUUUUGAAACCUUUGGAUAUUAUUGGGUUUCUCAUGCUUUUGAAUGUCUAAUUGAAUAGAACUAAGUUAGCCAAAUAACAAAAUAAAUAGAUAUAGAAUCAUGCACCUCAUGGUGGAGCUCUUGCAUUUUAGCUUUGUACUCAAAAUUUUGAAACAAGUUUAAGUUUGAAAAGUUGAAUUUGUAGCACCCAAAAAUAUUAUUAUGGAAUUCUAAUAAAACAAUAUGAACCAUCUCACCUUUUAAGUCACAUCUUCUAAAAUAAAUAUAUCUAAUAAUAAAAGAUUUAAUGAUCUUAUAUAAAUUAAGUUAUUCUUUUGGAUAAAAUGUUUAGAGAUAUUAUCUGAAAUGGUUGGGUUAAACUAACUCUUAAUAAAUUUGUGCAAGAGAAAUUAAUUCAUUAAAACAUAUAUUUGGUGUGUAUAAAAUAUACUCUUAGAAGUAUUUGCUUAAAUGAAUAAUGCAAUGAAUAUAAACAAAAUAAACCUUGCACUCAUGCUUGGAGUUUUAUUUGUGCAUCUAAAAGUAAAAUCUUGGAAUUCAAACAUGAGUUUGAUUUGAAUUUAAAAUAGAAAUCAGAAAAUAAAAAGGAAAAAAAGAAGACUUACCUCGAGUAUGGGCCAGAACCUCCCCUUCAGCCCAACUACCCUCAGAGCGUCGUUUGGGCCAAACCCACUUCGUGGCCCAUCCUCGCACACGGCUGCACUUUGCACCCAUCACCGCCUUGUGGCCCCAUUGCGUGGCCCAUAACCUUGCUCACACUGACCUACGGGGUCCUCUAAUCAGCGCCCAGCCUCUCACACGUACUGGAUCGCUCUCACUAUCGCAUGGGCCCAGCGGGACAGAAGCUCCUCCUCCGAAACAAAUGAGUAUGCGGACUUGUGGCGUCUCUCUGCCAAGUGGGCCCGGACGGCAGCUCGAUCUUCCUCCACGCAACAGAACUCCGGCGUCCGCACCGGGAAUCACGCGGCAUCUUGGCCGGACACCCCCUCCACCGAUGGCCUAUAAAAAUCGGUUCCUCUCCCUCAUCCAUUGGCACCCAGGCUCCAUAAAAUCGUGCACGAAUUAGGGAGAGGGAGAAGCCCGCCCUGACCGUCGCCAUUGUCGUCGGGUGGCAUCGUGGGGAAACAUGACGUCUGCUGAGGGUUGAGGUCGGGACUAGGAUCCGAGACCUCAGGGUCUCGACCGUGCGAGUUUCUGGUCAAGCAGGGGCCCUCCGCGGCAUUUCCCGUACGACGGUGGUCGUCUGGGGCGUCACCGUGUCGGAGAGCCGACGCACCGCCCAUGGCGAACCUAGGCGCCCGAUCGUGCGAUUGGAUCGGGCAUGGUGGAGAUUUGGUGCGUAUUGGACAUCGGGAUGGCCUGACUUCUUCACCGUCACCCAACACUACCGCAAUGCCACACUGCAGCAUGGUCACGUGAUUCGGUGCUGCCACCGUAGGUAAGGAUUCCCCUAAUGUAUUCACCACUCUUCGGACAUCGCGUAGGAGUAAUCAUGGUGGGUUUUGGUUGGGGGAGCGCUGAAUUGGGGCCGCUCCGGCCAUGGGCGCCGCCGUGAUGAUGGGGCUGCCGUGGUUGGGUUGAGUUGGGUAAGAUGAUCAUCUGACCGCUCGUCUCAAAACGGACGACCGUGAUGGCAACGCCGCAUACCCGCUCGCAUUGUUACAUCCUUACCGUAGAUCGGCUUAUGGAGGGGUGAGAGGUGAUCCUAGUGUUUAGUGAAUCUAGAGCAUUGAUUUAUGACCCAAUGGCCUGGAUUGAGUACCGGUUCAAGUAAAAGUAUAUGUUGGGCCUAUGCUUCGUCGCCGAAGGUCUUAUAGGAAGAAGCGGUCUUCGGCUGAAGCUGUUUGUAUAAGAUGGCCGAAGGUUCCUCUUCGUGAAGCUUCGGUAUUACAAACCGACUUAAAGAUAGAAUGACCUUUUAGUCCAUAAAGGUCUGAGUCAAUGUUGUAAGCUUUUAUAAGGGGCAUACUUGUAAUUCCUCACAGGCUGCGUCCUGUGCCUAUAAAUAGUGAACAGUAUUCCUUUACUGUUCACGCAUUCUAGUAAUUGCAAUCGCUUAUUCUGGAAUUCAACCUUUGCCAGGGCAGAGGUAUUAUUGUAUUCAAUGAUUCAAUAUAUUAAGUAAAUAUAAUAUGAUUCGUCUAUGAUUUAUUUACCCCUUUUAUACCUUUUAUUUUAUGUCGUCUUACAAUAUCUAUUAAAAUUUUAUUACGAAGACUUAAGCUUCGUAAUUAUACUCUCAUCAACCUUCGUCCAAGGCCCAUUAUCCUCAAGGGAAUAAUGUUUCAUGGACGAAGGACGUUAACAUUUAACACUUUAUGUUGCCUUGUUCUUAAUUCAUAGCAUUUGAGAACAAGUCCCCAACAUUGGCGCCCACCUCCGGUGAACUCACUUCCACUUUUUGAGCUGAUGGCUUCGUUCAACGACCAAGCUGGAGCUGCUUCGGACCCGAAGCUGGUGCUCCCGAUCACAGGUGGUUCGUCCUCAGAGCCAGCUAACAAGAAAUAAAAGAAGGAAGCACAAAGAAGGGUACAGCAUGUUGGGGUGCAAGGACCCUUCAUCAAGUCAAGAUGGUCUCACAUUCCUAUUACCUUCUCCCAAGAGGACCUUCAGCUCAAGGAUUAUCCACACAACGAUGCCAUGGUUAUCUCUUGUGUUAUCAAAGGAUUUCUAGUCCACAAUGUCUUGGUUGACACAGGCAGUGCAGCUGAUAUCAUAUUUGCUAAGGCCUUCAGACAAAUGCAAGAGCCAGAAGAUAAGAUUCAUGAUGCUACACACCCUCUCUGUGGCUUCGGAGGAAGACAGAUUGUAGCACUGGGUAAGAUCACCAUGUCAGUGACCUUCGGGUUCAUCAACAAUACUAGAACUGAGCAAGUUGUGUUUGACAUUGUUGACAUGGAAUACCCUUACAAUGCAAUUAUUGGUCGUGGCACCCUCAAUGCUUUCGAAGCAAUUCUUCAUCCUGCUUAUCUUUGCAUGAAGAUACCUUCGGAUCAAGGACCCAUCGCUAUUCAUGGAAGUCAGGAAGCUGCCAGAAGGGCCGAAGGCAAUUGGACUGACUCAAAAGCAAUCCAUAACAUAGAUGGAGCUGAAGCUUGUGAACAGUACAAAUUCAGAAGAGAGAAAGCAGCUUCAGCAGACCAGCCGAAGCCUAUGCUCUUAUGUGAGGACAUAGCAGAGCAGAAGGUGCUGUUGGGCUCUCAAUUAUCUGAAGAGCAGGAGAAAACCUUGAUAAUGUUUUUGUUCAACAACAAAGAUGUUUUUGCAUGGUCAGCCAAUGAUCUCUGUGGAGUAAAUAGGGAUGUUAUUGAACACUCGCUCAAUGUUGACCCAUCCUUCAGACCCAGAAAGCAGAGGCUUCGGAAAAUGUCUGAUGAUAAGGCCGAAGGUGCUCGUAACGAAGUCAAAAGACUCCUCACUACAGGAGUUAUCAGAGAAGUAAAGUACCCAGAAUGGCUAGCUAACACUGUUAUGGUAAAAAAAGGCCAAUGGCAAGUGGCGAAUGUGUAUCGAUUUUACAGAUCUCAACAAGGCCUGUCCGAAGGAUGAAUUCCCAUUGCCAAGGAUAGACUCUUUAGUUGAUGCAGCAGCUUCUUCAGAGCUCAUGAGUCUGCUAGACUGUUACUCAGGCUAUCACCAAAUAUGGAUGAAGAAGGAAGAUGAGCCGAAGACUAGCUUCAUAACCCCAAGUGGCACAUAUUGCUAUCUUCGGAUGCCCGAGGGGCUCAAAAACGCUGGAGGAAGUUUCAGUAGAAUGACUGCGAAGGUUCUCCAGUCUCAGAUAGGCAGAAAUGUGCUAACUUAUGUUGAUGACAUCAUUGUAAAAAGCACAAAACAGGAGAAUCAUAUUGCUGAUUUGCAGGAGACCUUCGCCAGUUUCAGACAAGCUGGCCUAAAGCUGAAUCCGGAAAAAUGCGUCUUCGGAGUAAAGAAGGGGAAAUUUCUUGGAUGCUUGGUUUCAACAAAGGGAAUUGAAGCUAAUCCAAGUAAAAUUGAAGCUAUACUUCGGAUGGAGCCACCAACUACAAAAAAGGGGCUCAAAGAUUGACAGGAAGGUUGGCAUCUCUCAAUAGAUUCAUAUCCAGAUCAGCAGAGAGAAACUUACCAUUCUUCGAAGUGUUGAAGUCAGCCGAAGUCUUUCAAUGGGGACCAAUCCAGCAGAAGGCCUUUGAAGAGCUGAAACAGUAUUUGAUAGAUCUAACAACAUUAACUCCACCGACGCCAGGGGCUCCUUUGUUAUUAUAUGUGGCAGCUUCGCACUCAGCGGUAAGUGCAGCACUUGUCCAGGAGAAGCUCGAUGGUCAAGUCAAAAGGCAGGCCCCAAUAUAUUUUGUAUCCGAGGUUCUUAGUUUAUCAAAGAAAAAUUAUACAGAAUUGGAGAAGGUACUGUAUGCUGUCUUGAUGGCCUCCAGGAAGCUUCGGCACUAUUUUCAAGCUUACAACAUAAUUGUUCCUUCUUCACAACCUCUGAAGGAUAUUAUGAGGAACCGAGAAGCUACUGGAAGGAUUGGAAAAUGGGCCCCAGAGCUCAACGAAUUUUGUAUUGAAUAUGUUCAUAGAUCUUCGAUUCAGUCUCAGGCGUUAGCAGACUUCAUUGUUGACUGGACGCCAGGGGCUCAGGAGGAAGAAACAAAUAAAGACGCCGAAGCAUGGACAGUGUUUUGUGAUGGGUCUUGGGGAACCUUCGGAGCGGGAGCGGCUGCUGUGUUGGUUUCACCUUCCAAAGUUAAAACUUGCUAUGCGGCAAAACUUGAUUUUAGUUGCACAAAUAACAUUGCCGAGUACGAAGCUCUGCUUUUGGGUCUUCGGAAGCUAAAAGCAAUGGGAAUCAGAAGGGCCAUGCUUAAAACUGAUUCCCAGGUUGUUUCGGGUCAUAUUGACAAGAGCUGCAAGGCUAAAGAUCCGAAGCUUGAAAAAUAUCUGGAUAUGGUUCGAAGAGUUGAAGCUUCCUUCGAAGGAUUUUCUGUCAAAAAUAUCCCUCGAGGACAAAAUGAGCAUGCUGAUUUGCUAGCUAAGUCAGCAGCACAGGGGCUGCCCUUACCUUCGGAUGUGUUCUUCGAAACAAUAAAAGCACCUUCGGUGGAACUUCUUGAAAGAGCAGUCCUCAAUAUAUCUCCUGUUUAUAGUGAAGACUGGAGAACUGAGAUCAUCUCUUACCUUCAUGGUAAAUUCCUUUCAAAUGACGAAACUUAUAACAGGAGGAUAGAGGCAAGAGCUCGUCCAUAUGUCAUGAUAGAAGGGGAGUUGUACAAGCAUGGAGUUUGUGCUCCGCUACUCAAGUGUUUAUCUAGAACCGAAGGUAUAGAGUUAAUGAAAGAAAUACAUGCAGGCCUGUGUGGAUCUCACAUUGGAUCUAGGCCGUUACUUGGAAAAAUUUUCCGCCAAGGGUUUUAUUGGCCGAAGGCAGCUUCGGAUGCAGCAGAAUUAAUUCAAAAGUGCGAAGGUUGCCAAAAAUGUGCAAGAGAUCAAAAACAACCUUCGUCCUUAACACAGCUCAUACAACCCAUUUGGCCAUUGCAAAGGUGGGGCCUUGACUUGUUAGGUCCGUUACCACCGGCCCAAGGAAACCUGAGAUAUGUUGUAGUAGCUGUGGAAUAUUUUUCUAAAUGGAUUGAGGCAAAGCCUUUAGCCACAAUAACUUCGGCCACCGUCCAAAAGUUUUUCUGGCAGAAUAUUGUUUGUCGUUUCGGGGUACCAAAGGCUAUCACUGUGGAUAAUGGAACACAGUUUGACUCCGAAGCUUUCAGGGAGUUCUGUGACCAAAUUGGUACGAAGAUCCAUUUUGCAUCAGUCAGGCAUCCGGAGUCAAACGGACUCGUUGAAAGAGCCAAUGGCAUUAUAAUGACAGGAAUAAUGAAGUUGAUCUUCAAUCAACCCAGGGGAAAGUGGCCAGAUCAGUUAACCAAAGUAGUGUGGAGCCACAACACAACAACAUCAAGGUCUACAGGCUUUACUCCAUUCAAGUUGUUAUUCGGUGACGAAGCAAUAACUCCGGAGGAAGCUAAAACCGGAUCAAUAAGAGUAGUAGCUUCGGCAGAAUCAGAUUCCGAAGCUGCUUAUUCUGUAGAAAAAGAUGCUUUAGAAGGAAUCAGGCUGCAAGCCGUGGAGAACAUCAAUAAAUAUCAAGCCGAAACAAUCAAAUGGCGAGAUAGAAAGGUUCGGCUAAAGAAUAUUGAGCCAGGACACUUGGUGCUUCGGAGAGUGGCCAACCCAGAAACAGUGGGUAAGUUGCAGUUGAAAUGGGAUGGACCUUUCUUAGUAGCAUCUUCGUCAAGACCCGGUUCAUACAGAUUGAAGGAUAUGGACGGCAACGACAUUCCUAGAUCUUGGAAUGCGGAUGAGCUUCGGCGAUAUUAUGUAUAACUUGAUGUAAUUUUUUAUGCUUUUUCUUUUUUAUGGCACCCUUUUCCUUUCUAAAGGGGGAGAAAGGUUUUUAAUGGGGCCAUCACAUGUAAUUUCCUUUUUUAGUUCUAUAAGAGCAAAAUCCCCCAAGGAAUGUAAAUGUAAAAGCUGAGAGCGCACCAUCGAGUGCCGAAAAGUAAAGGCGAAGAAGCUCCAAAGUCGUUCCUAAGGGAAUGCAGAGCUUACAGCGAAAAGUCAACGCUGAUACCGCCAAAAGUAAAGGCGAAGAAGCUCCAAAGUCGUUCCUAAGGGAAUGCAGAGCUUACAGCGAAAAGUCAACGCUGAUUCCGCCAAAAGUAAAGGCGAAGAAGCUCCAAAGUCGUUCCUAAGGGAAUGCAGAGCUGAGGUGUGUUUGUUUUUAAGGAAAUAAUGGCUAUGAGUAUGGCUUCGGAUACGUGUUUGGCCAUUCAUUUGCACAUCACAUUACAUCAUAGCAUUUGCAUUCAUAAACAUUCAUCCAGGCAUAUGUAGGAUAAUCAUCAUCAUGGCAUAAGUGGUUGCUUCGGCAAAAAGAAAAAAAAGGGGGGAAGAAAGAGCUUCAUGUACAAAAAGGAGAGCUUCGGAAAGAAGGGAAAUGUUGUUUUCUAUGCUUCGCUGCGUACGAAAAGAAGGGAAGGUGUUUUUUCGCCUUCAGCUCAAAAAAGAAAAUUUCGUCCACAUCAAAGCACUUCUCAUACAUCAAUGGAAGGAUAAGGAUAUAUUACAAGGUAUGAACAGAAUGACAAGUUUCAGUUACAUUUACAAAAGUUAUCUCAAAAGUUUCUCAAGUACUGUCUACAGUCUACUAUUUAAUCUCCAAGGAGCUUCAGCUUCGGCGUCAUUUUCUAAUCAUCAGCUUCGGCUUCGUCAUCCUACAUGAAUAAGGUUGUUAUAAGUCAAAACCAAGCUUGAAGGAAGAGGUAAGCGCAAGGUAUAAUCUCUUACUGGUUCAAGAUGACUCCGAGCUUCGUCUCCAGCCUUUUCUCGCCCACCUUUUGUCCAUAUCAUUUUUACAAAUCUGUUAGAGAUACUUCGGGCGAGAUCAGGAAUGUCAUCUAGGAUUGAUGGUGAUAAAGUGAAAUUUAGCCUAUUGACAAUUUUUCCAUGAUCGCAGCCAGCUUUUAGGAAAGCUGCAGCAGUGCCCCGAGAAGCCACCCAGGCACAGAAGUCACCGUGCCCAGCUAUGACUUCGUCGAGCUCGUCAAUCUCACCCUCAAUAUGUUCGAAGGUCUUCGGUAGAUCUUCAGCUGAGGGGGUGAAUUUUUCACUGCUGGCUCCAACUGAGUGGAAAAUCUUUCUUAAUCGUUGAAUGCAUUUGUUGCUAAAUUCCAAACAUUUUUCUUGAAGGCUCGUCAAUAAUUUUCUCAAAUCUGAAUUUUGUUGAGCUUCGGCUUCAAGUUUUGCAUUAAGGUCUUGCUUUUCUCGUUCGAACUGCUCAGAUUGGCGAAGAAGCUUCGAGUUCAGUUCUGUUAUUUUUGCUUCGGCUUCCGCCAAUGAACCUUCGGUUGCCUGGAGCUCGAAGUUCUUUUUCUCGAUAGCAUCCGAUUGCUCCUUUAUUCUGCUUUCCAAAUUUUCAAUUAUAACUUCGUGCUUCUUGUCUUCAAAAUCUUGCUGCAUUUUCAAGGCUUUGCUCAACAGCAUACUCUGCACGAAAUCAACCUUCGUCAGACGUGUUUUCAUUAUUAGAAACAAUAAAAGUUAAGGGAAAAGUAGUUCACCUUGAAAUUGGAAUAAAAUAAACUACCAACGAUAUGUUGUCGUCGGUAGCGACUAAUGUCUGUCUCCAGCUUCGGAAAACCGAUACUCUUUGACAGAGUACCGAUAACUUUGGCUCCGGUUUGAUCUCGAAUACAAUCUAAUUUUUCAUCAUCAACGCCUCCGAAGAGGAGUGCUCCAGGUUUGUAUCCGCAGGAUUUGGCAUACUCUUUAAGCUCUUCUAUUUCAGCUUUUGAUAGUUUUUCCCCAACUAAAUUCUGGAACAUGAAGGCUUCGUUUUCUGAAGCUUCAUCAGCAAUUUCUUUCCCUUUCUCCGACGCUGCGGUCGCGGCCUCUUCGGCGGCGGUGGUAGCUUCUUCUGCAGCCAUGUCUAGCAGUAUUUUGUCAAUGUGUUCGAUUGUGCUCUCUAGGUUCAAAUCUUCAGCUGAGGCAGCUUCGGCAGCUGCGACCUCCGAAGGUGUAAUUUCAAUAUCUGUCCCUUCCACAGCCGCUGGUGUUUUCUGAGCUGAAGCUCUUGGCGGUGUCUUGUCAAUUACUUCUGUCACAGUGAUAAUUCUUUGUCUCUUUGCUUUGAUUAUUUUCUUCGAUUUUUCGGGCUCCUUGUCCUUCUGAAAAAACUUUGUCAGUUGGGGCCCCAGUGGACUUAGCUUCGCAGGUAAGGAUUCAGUCAUUACCUUCAGAAUUUCCUCAACGUCAGCGGCAGAGGGUGAUGCGGGGGAUUUUUCUUCGUCGGAUAUUUUCCGUUUCGGAGAAGACGCUUUCCUCUUCUUUGGAAUUUUCUUCUUUGGUGUCUCUUUUUCAUCUUCAUUUGAGGCUUCGGUUACCCUUUUCCUUUUCUGGCCUCCGGCACCUUUGUUCAGAUUUUCAUAGUCAGGGUAUUCAAAACCCAAGGCGUCCAACACUCGGUUCAGUCUUCGCUUCGGACGGGUGCCGAAGGCCGCAGUCAUUAAUUGAUCUUCUUUUUUGGAAUAAUUGCCAAGUAUUUCAUUACACAUUACUUCAAUUGUGUCUAGCCACUCUUGGCAAGGCGCUUUAAAGUAUUUCUUAAACUUGAAAUAGUAAGGUAAACGCACAAGUUCACCUUCUUUCUUCUCCCCCUUUAGCUUCGGCAUUUCCCAUUCUUUCAAACUGGGAAAAACUUUGAAAGCCAAAAACUCCUGAACCAGGUCCCUUGUACUGAUAUGCUCUGCAAUAAUUCUGAAUUCAUUCAUUGCUUGUUGUGUUGGACCUUCGGGCGUCAUGUUACAGCGAGGUCGGGUUUCUCCGAAGAUUAGUUCGAGUGGACUUUGCACAAGCUUCUCCUUGUCGUCAUCAACCUUGACAUAGAACCACUCCGACUUCCAGCCUGCUGCCCAUUUGCUUCGAUAGCUGAUUACAGGAAACUUUGUGGUUUUCUGAUAGGCGAAGUUAUAGCAACCAAAAUUGUCGUGCAAUCCAUCCUUUCUAGCCUUCGUCUGAUAAUGCAGCUCGUGAACCCGGCAAAAGCUGUCCGCAAAUGGUUCCACUGCUUGGCUUCGGAGUGCCCAGAUAUAAACGCUAAGCCUAACGAUAGCGUUAGGGGUCAGCUGGUGAAAAUAGAUACCGAACCUCUUCAGUACCUCUGCAAUAAUCCCAUGUAGGGGGAAUCUUAAUCCAGCCUUUAGAAAGCUUUUGAAAAUAACAAUUUCAUCCUUCUCCGGCUUUGGGGUAGUCUCUUCUCCCCCGAAGCGUAAUAGCUUUUUCUGAUUUUCAGUAAAAAAGCCUGACUUUACCAUCUUGGACAGAUCAGCCUUCGAAACAGUAGAUUUCCCGAAGUCCAGGUGGCUGGGCUUGCUUGGCAUGGCAAUGCGAUAAUCAUCUUCGGGAUCAGUUUCCUCAAUAUCUUCUUCUUCUGCUUCAGCGAUUGCUUGUUCUGCUUGUUCUGCAUCAUCACUAGGGAUCUUUUCCGAAGUCACCAGCCCGGAUCGUUGCAUGGCUUCGGAGAUGGGAACAGUCUCCGAAGCUUCAGUUUCGCCCUCCUCACGCUCAACCCUAGCGGUGGAACGCACUCUGGCCAUUUAAUUAUGAAUGUGUGGAAAUUUAAUACUUUCUUCUUCCGAAGUUUUUUCUGACGAAGCAGGCUUCAAACUGGAGCUUCGUUUGAUUCCGACAGACAAGCUUCGGCGAUGGUUAAAAAUUUUGGCAGCAGAACAGUGCAAAUAGCAAUGAAUGUUGUGGUAACUUCACACCUACUCGUCUGUUUAUAUAGUACUGCAGGUAAGAAGGCGAAGCGCCAGGAUUUUUACACCAGGCGGACACCCGCUUGCACUCGCUGUGCGGUGGACCGCAGAGAUCAAACAGUAACUCUGCAAGGUGGGACCGCUACGCGCUGGGAAAUUGAAUCGUUUCUCGACAACGAGCUCAGGGAAGGUGUUUUUUGGACCUUCGGCUCCCCGAAGCCUAAGAGACUUUUUUCACGGAUCAAGCUCGUUACGAAAAACGAUCUAGCACCGCGAAAGGGGCUACUGUUGGGCCUAUGCUUCGUCGCCGAAGGUCUUAUAGGAAGAACCGGUCUUCGGCUGAAGCUGUUUGUAUAAGAUGGCCGAAGGUUCCUCUUCGUGAAGCUUCGGUAUUACAAACCGACUUAAAGAUAGAAUGACCUUUUAGUCCAUAAAGGUCUGAGUCAAUGUUGUAAGCUUUUAUAAGGGGCAUACUUGUAAUUCCUCACAGGCUGCGUCCUGUGCCUAUAAAUAGUGAACAGUAUUCCUUUACUGUUCACGCAUUCUAGUAAUUGCAAUCGCUUAUUCUGGAAUUCAACCUUUGCCAGGGCAGAGGUAUUAUUGUAUUCAAUGAUUCAAUAUAUUAAGUAAAUAUAAUAUGAUUCGUCUAUGAUUUAUUUACCCCUUUUAUACCUUUUAUUUUAUGUCGUCUUACAAUAUCUAUUAAAAUUUUAUUACGAAGACUUAAGCUUCGUAAUUAUACUCUCAUCAACCUUCGUCCAAGGCCCAUUAUCCUCAAGGGAAUAAUGUUUCAUGGACGAAGGACGUUAACAUUUAACACUUUAUGUUGCCUUGUUCUUAAUUCAUAGCAUUUGAGAACAAGUCCCCAACAGUAUAUCUAAUAUGUGCCAUCCAUUUAUGAUCAAACGGUCGAAAUACAUGUAUACCCCUUCGUCGUGCACUUCUUUCAAAAGAGACCCUUUGUUUUAUUAAAACUAACACGCCGUCCUGCACAGUGCACUCUGAGUCUUAGAGUUUUUUUGCACAGAGGCCCCUGUCUUUUCCGGUAAUUGAUGCGCAGUCCAGAGCUAUGGUAAAUAAGAAAAAUGAACCUAGAAAAAUGAUUUUAAUAUAAAAAUAAAUCCUAGAACUCAUUUAAUUCAUAGAAAACUUAUUUUAAAUCCUUUUUAAUCCAUUCUAGUGGCAAUAAUUUGGUAUUAAUAUUGUUUAUCACCUAGUAACUCUGUUUAGCCAUGAAACCUGGAUUCAAAUUAUUCACUUGAUUUAUUCUAAGCACUUAAUAACUUUGAAAAUUCAUAACUCCUUCGUUUUAAUUCUGAAUUGACUCAUUCCUAUUGCGUUAGCUUCGUAUAAAUAAUUACUACGUAGUAGCAACAUUGAUUAUAUGAUAUAUCAUACUUUUAUAAUUAGGUAACUAAUUUGAUUAAUCUAUGUUUUCCGGGUUAGCUUAUUCUAAUAUUAAUAUAGUAUCAUGAUCUUAGGGUUAUCUUGGCCUAAAAGAUGAUUUAUAAUCAAGUAAUGACUUAGAUUAAAGUUGAGUUAACUAAUUAUAAGAUAUUCUCUCAUGAUGUAUACUAAUCCAUUUAUAAUAUAGUUUAAUCACAUAGAUCUUCCAUAAAUUAUAACUUUCUAACCGUAACUCCGAAUUUAGUGAUUCUCGAACCCACGAUCUCGUAGCAACGAGUAGAAUAUUCUUAUGCAAUUUUUUCUUAUGUUUGGUGUGAUGUUAAUUUUUCCUAUACCAUUUUUGUUUGUAUUGCUACAUUUAGCAGUAAGGUCACGAGCCACCUGAAGAGCAAGUUGGUACCUGCAAUCUCAAGUCCCAGACAAGUUGUGCCCUUGAUCACUUCUUUUUCCCCAACCAUGUUCUUAUUAAUCAUAAUGAUCUACAUAGGUUAAUUUUGAUGGGACCUAAUAGGUCAUCCUAGUUUGGCUAUCUUUAUACCUUGUUUACCACUGAAUUUUUUUGGGUAGUACCUGCUAUUGCUUUAUGUGGUUUUGGGUAUGGAGAUAUACAUUAUUCAUGAUCCUACUUUUAUUAUCAGUUUGUUAUUUACUAUUCAUGAUAAGAUCAUUAUGAUAAUUGGAACAUGGAGAACCACCCGGGAAAACAGUGCUACCACAAGGGUGGUAUGGGAUGCCCCUGACUGACUAAUUAGGAAAGCUAGUGGAGGACUACCUUACCCGAAAGGGUUAAGGGCAGUAGGGGAGUGGUCAGUGUGGGGAGGCCCUUGGGUUGAUUUUGCUAUGAUGGCGGUCAGGCGAGGGGUCCCUGCAUUGGAGCUUCCUAGAAACUGUAGCGGGUUUUCUGAAGCUAGUGGAACUUUUUAAAGGCCUCGUAGUGUUACCCUGCCUCACUUUCUUGGUAGAGGUGUAUGGGAAGUCGCGAUCACUUGGCAGAUGGGUAACAUGACUUGUGGGUAAAGAUGUGCAACCUCUGCAGAGUGUAAAACUGGUAUACUAGCCAUGCUCACGGUCAUGAGCAGCUCGGACACACACAUGAUUAAUUUAUGGAACUAAAUUCAAUUUGUCAUAUGCAUUGCAUCGCAGGUGUUGUUAUUACUUUUGUUCUACUACUUAAUAGGGUCGGUAUUUACUUAUACUUAGUAACUGCUAAUAAAAUUUUGACCAACUUUAAAAGCAAUGCUCAUCUUCAACCAUCCUUUUUGGUAAGCCUUACACUUCACGUGAGCUCUCACCUUUGGCGAGUUCAUGCACAUUAUUCCCCACAACUUGUUGAGCGAUGAACGUAUGUGAGCUCACUCUUACUGUCUCACACCCCACAGGUCAAGAACAGGUACUGCAGAUGAGGCGCGUGGAGGAUGUUGUGACGAGUUCGUGAGAGGUCUAGACCAUCGUCUCCCAGUCAACUUUGGGUUGCUGGAUCGUUGUCUCCUUUCGAUGUAAUUAUUUAUUUAUUUUUUACAGAACUCUUAUUAUAUAUGAAAGAUGUGUCAUUCGUUUCUGUACCAUGAUUCAUCAUAUGUGUGAGACUUAGUCCCAGCACACCUGGUGAUUAUGUUCGUGCCCGGGUCUUGGUGCCCCGAAACCCGAGUGUGACACGAGGUCACCUCAUGCUCAUGAUACUGAGAAACUACCAACAUUUACAUUGUGGUGUUCAUUUUUAUAUAAUCGUUGUGUACUAAUAUUUUAUCGAACAUUUUUGUGUGCAGUCGCAACGCACGGACACCUAACUAGUUUUUUAUAAGUUAUACUCGAUACUAAAGCAUAAUAUAGAUAUGUUUAUAAAAAUGAAAAAAUAAAAUAGGUCUAGCUCAUCGUGCAGCACCUAAAAACCAUCGAGCCAGAUCAUGCUCGUUCUGGGCUUAAAUCGUGUCAUGGUUCAUGGGUCACCCGGUAGGUCUAGCCGUUUAGACAUCUAUAGCUAUAGCUGCACCAUUUUUUUUGAAACGGGUCUUUUGAAAACAGUUUUACCUAUAAGAUCAUGCUCUUGUAUAGAAAUGAGGUGGGACGAAGAUAAAAUAGUUUUUUCAUAGCUUGACCUCACACUUGUCGAUCUUGUAUAAGAUUAUAUGGGGACAUUAUAUUCUACGGGAAUCCACAGGUAUGAUACAGCUGUUUUGCGGAAAAGGUAUCUAAAAUAACUUUAUCUUCACCGAAAAAGAUGAUUAGGCUAAAUCCAUCAGCUUGCUUAUUUUCAUAUCUAUAUUUAAAUUCUAGUCUACGAACAGUGCAGUUUACAUUAUACAAUCUAAAAUAGUGUUUUAAAUGAUUAUAUAAGUGAACGGCUGGACAGCUUAUCGUGAUGUUGAAAUCCAAGAGAAACAACUUCAGUGAUGAAGCUCUGUACCAAAUGAAAUCUUAACUUUGCUAGUGCUACCAUGAACAUGACACUAUGGUACAGUUUGGUUACAUGCAUCCUCAGCGCCUGAGUCGCGCGGGCUUGCAUCCGUGGAAACGGACGAAUUUUACUUCUCCACACGUACAGGCCAACAAAGAGAAAAAAAAGACUAUUUUGCAUGUGUGCGUACAGAUUCGGAUGCUACCGUGCAGUUAACCAAACAUAUGCACAAGGGCGGUCAACGCAUACGAAGGAUUAGGCCGCGGGCGUCCGGCCACCCAAUCACACAGUAUGUGUGGCUACGCACUGGACAACAUAUAUCUUCUUUUUGACGGGUGAACACAACACAACAUUGGUAAAGCGAGAUCAUGGGGGUGAAAACAUGACUCCGGCCUAAACCUUCUUCGUAAUGCUUGUCACCUUCAUCGAAUCAUGUGCACACCGGCCAACAACAACCCAUUGUUGAUGUAAAACAUUUGAAUUCAGCACUGAGCAGGUAAAAAGGAGGACCACUACAAAAUGUUUUAAUACCAAACUCAGUUGAAGCUUCAAACUCCACACGAAAAUACUUUUUUUAUUACCCUACCAACCCAACAACAAAACUCAAAUUGUAGCCUAUAUAAGCAUAACCACGCCCAUGCACAAUGCAAAAACCAAGCGAGAUCUGCCAACAUGGCACCAGCAAGAAGAGCUUCCACGCGUGCGGAAGCACUCAUCACGAUGUCAUGCGUGGUGGCACUGACCAUCGUGCUGCUCGCGCAAUGCUGCGUGGCAUCCUCCAGGUCACUGCAGCUGGUCUCCUCAUCAGUCGCUAAUGCACCGGAAGGCAGCCAAGCCGGUGCCCCAGCGCCGGCGGCGGUGCUAGAGCCGCAGCCGCCGGCUGCAGAUGCUGCAGCCCCGCCGGUGGGAACUCCGGAGUACGCUCCUGUCGCUGGCGCGCCGCCGCCGUUGACUGGACACGGUCAGCACGUGAAGAGCAAGCACCAGGACCAUGAGAAAGCGCCACCCAAGCCGAAGCACCACCACCCGAAGGCGCCGCCCAAACACCACGGGCACCACGCGCCGCCGGAGCCGGACGUUUCGCCACCUGCGCCGGAGCCGGACGACGGGCAGCCGACACCAGGUGUGCCGCCGGCCGACAGCCCCCACGGCCAGAACCCGCCGUGGCCAUUCCCGUGGCCGCGCCCUGGCACUGGCCAGUGGCCGCCGUUCCACCCGCCACCGUUCCCGGCGUGGCCGCACCCAGGCCCGGACGGCAAAUGGCCGCCUCUGCCGCCGUUCCCGUUCCACCCACCGCCGCUCCCUGCGUGGCCGCAGCCGCACCGAAGAAACAACCCGUGGCCGCCGCUGCCGCCGUUCCAAUCGCCACCGUUCCCGGCGUGGCCGCACCCCGGCCCGGGCGGCAAAUGGCCGCCUCUGCCGCCGUUCCCGUUCCACCCGCCGCCGCUCCCGGCAGGGGGCAACUGGCCGCCGCUGGCACCGUUCCAUUUCCACCCGCCGCCGACGCCGGCGUGGCCGUGGCCUCAUCAUCCAGGAAACCCAUGGGCGCCGCCGUCCAUGCACGGCAGCGAUGGCGUCCCAGCCACGACGGUGCAGCAGAACCCCGAGAACUGACGCACGCGCGCUCUUUUGCCCCGAUAACACGAGAGGAAUUUUAUAUAUCAAUAAUGAUAGAUUUGUUAUAGCUGAAGGAGGAAAGAUCGAUUGGUAAUCGUAUAGGCUGUAAAAGUAAUCAUACUGGAACUGCAUUUGUGACAGUACGUAAUAUGACUUGUGUUAAUUUGAUCAGGCUCAAGAGCAUGAUGAUACGAAAUAAAAUCAGGCUAAGGGAGUAUUUGGAUGGCUACAAGCUCCAGUGUGAGCUAUAGUUUAUAAUAUUAAUUUAAAUAGUUUUAAAAAUAUUUUUAAUCGUUUAUCUAAAUAUCUUGUAAAGGCUUAUAGCUCCAGUUCCACGAUUUUCUGGAGCACCUAAUGUUCUGUUCCACCAACUUUACUAAAUUUCUUGGAGCUAGAGCUAUCCCAAACAAGACCUAAAUUUAAGAUUCUUAAAAAGCGUAGUUAUCGAAAGUUGUCUCAAGUUUAUGCAUUGGAGUUGUGUUGAAUGACUAUGUUGUUUGGUUAAAACUUUAAAGGAAAGAGUCGGUCACUUGUAUUGAGCUAAAUUCUUAUUUCAGGAGCAAGACAAUGUUGUUCACUUGUUUUUUAUUGCUGUGAAUCAUAAAACAAGUCAACAUGAUUGUUAAAUGUUAAGGAUCUUCAUUCUUCGAAGCAUUAUCUCUCUUUGGGUAUACUGAAUCUUGGACGAAGGUCAUGAAGAAUGUAUCUUCAUCAUUCGCAAAAAUGAAAAUAUAAUUACAGAUGUAACAUUAUAUUUUCAUUUAUUUCGUAUUCAUUACUUAAACACAUUAAUAUUCAUAUCAUAUAUUAAUAAAAUGAUGUAUAAAGUACAUUACAUUAAUACCUUCGGCUUACUCGAAGGAGAAAAUGAGAGUGCAAUCUCAAUAUAGGCGUGAACAGUACGUGGGGUACUGUUCACCUAUUUAUAGGCACCGGACGCAACCCAGAUAAAAAUAUAUUUAUGACCAUAACAUAUACAUAUAAUCCUAAUACAAAAGAUUAGGGAUUAACUAGUAUUUUCCUCUUUGGCUCAACAUCAUGUUUAACCUUUGUAACCACCUUAUGCCGAAGCUAUCAUCCUUCGACGCUUUACACUAGUUCGUUGCAGCUUCUGCAUUCAAUCUUGUUGUUUAUAGACAAAUUCUCCGUCUUGAGGAUCUUCGGCAGAGAAGGAGACCCCAACAGUAGCCCCUUUGCGGUGAUAGGUCGUUUUUUCAUAACGAGCUCGAUCUGCGAAAAAUACCUUCUCUGAGCUUGUUAUUAAAAACGAAUAAAAAGUUACGGCCUUUGUCAGCCCACCGAUCAGUCUGUAUACUCGUUACGACGGUUCGCCUUCAUCACCUGCAGGGCUAUAUAAACAGAUGAGUUGGUGAGAAGUUACAACAUCAUUUAUUGCUAUUGCAACAUUGUGUUGUUGAAAAAUUACUGAAGCCGAAGCUUUUUGCCAUCUUUGCAUUUGUUGUGUGACCUUCGAACAAACGUGAAAUUAGUUGAAAUUUAGCUUCGUCUUAAGGAACUGAAAUGACAAGAGCCAGGUCUACAACCAGGCUAACAAACGAAGGUGAAGAGACUGAGGCUACUAAGACAACCCCCAUUUUAGAAGUAAUGAGACGUUCUGGGUUGAUUGUCCAAGAGGGAGUAGAGUCUGCUCCGAAAAAAGAUGUCGUUAUUACCGAAGCUGAACAAACCAUUGCCGAAGCUGCUAGUGAUGACGAAGAGGAUGAUGGCAUAUUGAGUCCGAGCAAGCCCAGUCAUCUUGAAUUUGGAAAAUCCACUGUAAAGGCAGAAGAUUUGAUUUUGAUGAAGAAGCUUGGAUAUUUUGGAAAAGACGAUGACGAAUUGAUAAGGUUCGUUGGGCACGAAGUAAUUCCAGAGCCAAGAGAUGAUGAAUUUGUUGUUUUUAAGAGUUUCAGAGCCGGACUUCGGUUCCCUCUGUAUGAAAUGAUCGGUGAUGUUUUGAAAAAUUUCAAAUAUACCUUCAUCAAUUAACUCCAAAUGCUAUAGUCAGGCUUAGUGUGUAUAUAUGGGCUCUCCGAAGCAAUGGAAGGAGUGCCAAUGCUAAAGGAUUUUGCAGGGUACAUGAACUCCAUUACCAGACUAAAGCGAGAGUAGAUGGACUGCACAAGAACUUUGGGUGUUACAAUUUUGCGUACCGAAAGGAUACUAAAACCCCUGUAAUUGGAUAUCGCACCAAGUGGCCGACUGGCUGGACAAGUGAAUGGUUUUAUGUGAAAACUGAUGAAAAGAGAAGGGGGAAGCUUAUGACUAUGGUGAUGAGUCCCCUGAAAUUGAGCUUUAGCAUGACAAGACCAUUAUGCAACAUGCAACUCGGUUGCCCCUACUAGUUAGCCAAAGUGGAAUUCAGAGUCGUGGCAGAGCACAUUAGUACUCGAGAUUUGGUGCAAGAAUAUAUGGCUAACAAAAUCUUUCCAACAUCUGGUGGGUGGGGGAUGCUGAAGAAGAAAGAAGGGAAAAAUUUUGAGCUUGUAAGACUUCCAUACCGUUUUAAAUUUCAGAAAAAGUUUAGCAAACCCUGUGCCGAAUGGUUGGAUGUCAUCGAAACAAUGUGUAACAAAAUCCUCGGAAAUUAUAUGUAACACCCUGAAUUUGGGGUAUAAAAUUUCUUCUCUAAAUGCCUACCAAAUUUAGGUGUUACCUCUUGUCUCUCUCUCUAGACUCUCUCUCUUUCCUUUGAUUAGAAUUAGGUUAAUCAGGUGAGGAAUUAAUUACUUAUUUUGUCAAAACAAUAUGAGUCAUGAAUUGUUGCAUUAUACUGAGCAUAAAUUAUCCUUUUGUUUGAUGCACAUGUUUGAAAUGGUUUAAAUUUGAAAUAGAUUUGAAUUCGAAUUGAGUUCACUAGAGAAAAUAAAAGGAAAAGGAAUUAGAAAGUUGGAAAUAAAAAAUAAAACCAAAGAAGCCUAGCUGCCCCCCCCCCCUUCUGGCCUUUCGGCCCAUUUGGCCCGCCAGCGCGCGCUCGCCUCUCCCCUUCCCUACUCUUGCCGCCAUGUGGGCCCACCCUGUUGGCGCCGCGCCCCGCUUUCUCGCCAGCCCUUUCCCUCUUUGUCCAGUGAGGCCACCUCGUCGGUGCCCUGGCCCGUUGCGCGCUCGUGCGUCUGUGUCGCUGUUCUGCGGACCCCGCUUGCCAGUCCCUCUCCACUCCUUCAACCGCUCGUCCGCGCGGACCGCGCGCACGCACGCCGAGACCGCCACGCCCACAUCACCUCUCUGCGCAAAACCGCUGUCUCGACCCCCUCCUCAAGUCCCUGCACGCACCCACUUUCCCCUGGCUCAUUCAUUUCGCCCCUGCACACUCACCUAAGCUGCGCGCGUCCGUUCUUCAAGCUCGUCGGAGCUCCCCCAUCACCAGGCCUCCUGCGCCCGAAUCUGCCCCAAGUAGAGCUCACCUGCAUUCCCUGACCGUGCUCUACCACCGCCAGGCAAAGCUUCGCCGUCGAUUUUGCCUCACCCGAGGUGAAUUUCCUCGCUGGACUUCCACUUCUCUCUCCCCCGUUUUCUCUGUUCUUUCAAUUAGCCGCUGGUGAUCACCGGUACCGGCACCGCGCCGUCAUACCAAGACCCCUUGGCCAACCACAACUGCCCCGUGCCUUCUUCAACCACGUGGAGUCACCGGCUCUGGCCAUGGCGCUCGCGCCGAGCGUGCGACCGAGGAAGACGGUGGUCCUGACAAGGAGGACCCGCCCAUCAGCCUCACUUCCCCCCUCUUCUUUCCCCUCGCAUGCCCGUUGACCGGUGGACCCUAGGUCCCACGCGUUAGCGCAGCGCCAAACCCUUCCCCUCGCUCUGUGUCACCGCCUGGUGGGCCCCGCCCGCGAGUGCGCUCCCACAGCUGCGCCCGCGCUUGCCCGGCGCCGCUAACCAGCGGGCCCGGCUUUGCCGUGGCCCUGCCUGUUAGGUGCUAACACCCUGGCACCCAGUCGUUCGCCCCACCCGAGUCGCUGGCCCGUGCACCCCGCAUGACAGGCAUCCGCGUCCGCGCGGGCGCCCGCACGCUCACACCGUCAGUUCUAAUCUUGGUCGUCUAUCUGAGAUCUGAUGGCUGGGAAGGCCCGAUACCCCUUGAGUUUUUCGUUUUGUAAAAAGAACCUGUAGUUCUCAGGUAAUAGAACCUGUCGUCCCUAGUUUUCGCGUGUAGGCCCCUGUAAUCUUGCAGAUUGAACCAUGGACUUUUAUUUAAUCACAGAUUUAAGCCUAAUUUUGUAUUUUAAACUUCAAAACUUGUUUAUUUCAUAUCUUUUGCAUAUGAACUUCAAAUUGAGUGAUUCAAAUUGCAAAAUGUUCAUUUGAUUAUUCUCUGUCCAAAUCAUUUCUUCCAAAAGGUUGGCACGAGAUACCUCACAUCUGAUCGGUACACGAAGGUAUAUGUAAAGCCCAAAAUUGGUAGAAAAAAUAAUAAAAUAAUGAAAUAAAGGAAUAAAAGUAUCUAUUAUAGUGUUUCUAGGAUUUUUGAAACCUUUGGAAUUCAUCAGGAUCCUUCCUCUUCAUUAUCAAUUGAGAGUACUAAAUUAGUCAAGUGACCAAUAAAUAGAUAAAGAAAGGUUGAUCUCUUGAUGAUGAUUUUGCGGUGAUGCAUUCUAUGGAACACAUAAACUUAGCCUCCAAUUUUAAAGAAAAACAUAAAAUAGAAAAUGAGAAAGGAAAUGUUUAGGAAACCAUUUAUUCAUCCCAUAAAUAAAUGACAAGGAAAAUAAUAAAUAAUAAUAUUGGAAACAGAAAUUUAAAAUUUAGUUUGAAAUCUUUAAAUUUGGAAUUUGAAAAGAAAAUUGAAAAAAGAAAUGAAAAGGAGAAAGCAGCUUGGGCCGAAACCACAUGCGGCCCAACAACUCUAGCACAGCCCACCUUAUCCUCUCUUGGUAUCUAUGGCACGUGAGACCCAACUGUCAUAAUCUCCAUCCUCAAUACUUUGUUUGGGUCGACGCAACCACCGCUGCCGACCGACCCGCUGUCGACUGGAUGCUCUUAGCCGAGUUUGUUUGCCCCCAGCCUAGUGCUGUGAAUAUGGCCGGGUUUUUCGAGCCAGCACUAGCACGACACGAAAAUAUGAGCCCAAAGCACGGCCCAAACUGUUUAAUUUCUUUAAUUUAGUAAGACAUAGACUUUAUAUUGUUGUUAUAUUUUGAGUUUAUGUGAUCAAAUAAUGCUAGAAUUAUUUAAUAUCUUUAAUUUAGUAAGCUAUAAAUUUUAUAUGAUUGUAAUAUUUUGAUUUUAUGUGGUCAAAUAUAUAGGUCGAGCUUGGGCCGGCACGACCCAAAAAAGGCACGACGUGGUUUAGGGCCGAGCUAGGCCACUAUUUUUACACUUCGGACUGACACGGCAUGAGCUUAAAAUCUUUUGAGCUUUUCUGACCCAAAUCCGUUUGGCACGAAGCACGAUGAACUUGGCCUAACCUGGCCCAAUUCCCAGCACUACCCAGCCUAUGUAAUCGCGCCUCCUCAUCUCAUCCUUACUCCUCCCUCUAGAGUCUAGCCACAACCGAAAACCCGGAAGCCAAGGUCUCCCUCAUCUCUCUCCCAACAUCGACGUUGUCCGCUGCGUUCUCACGUCUCCCUGUUUCCUUAUGCACGUGCGUCUUGGUACACGUUUUCCUUCUCCCUUGCGCGCGCCGAUUGCCUCCACCGCUGGUCGUGCGCCGCUGUCAACCUUCCUCACCGGUCGCGGCAACGCUCGUCCUCAAGCUUGGCCGUGUCGGUCGUCCCUGACCCCACCUUGGCGCAGUGCCGCUGGGAGCGCGGUCUGGGCAAGCCUUCGGGUUGCGUCAAGGGAUGCUGCGGCUCGAGCAAGCGACGUUGGGGAACCCUUGGAGCCGUUGUGAGUAGCUCGCCGGGGUGCGCGGAUUUCGUCGCCGGAAGGGAGAAUCCGCCGCUGGGUUGUGGUUCACGCGGACACCGUACCCCCACGUCCUUAAUCUGGAUCUGGGAGCAUCUGGGAUGUUUCGCAGUGUUUUUCCCUUCGUGUGGGACCUUGCCGUGCUUCAAUCUGGUAGCCGGAACACCGUGGUGCCUACUCACAGGCGGGACGCCGCCUUUGUCUGCUGGGCGCUGCCGCUCUGGUGGUCAAAUUGCAGGAGAGCGCCAGGUCCGUUGGAUCUUGUGCUAGCGCGUCAGAUUGAAGUUGCGGAUACCUCGUCAUGCGGUUGAUCUGAACCAUUGAUAACCGAACCAACGGAACCGGUCCGUUCUGACGUGAUCAUAGCGUGGCUACCACUGGGUCGUUGAUCUCGGAGCGUGCGACCGCGGAUGCGUACUGGUUGAUUUAAAAUCAGGAUCUACUCUCGGCCACUGGUCUUGGAUCGGACGGAUCACAACUGAAGGUACCCCUUCGACGAGGUCUAUUCGCAUAAGUGUCCCUCAGGGUUUUCUUAUUUAACCUGCCACCUAUCCCUGUGUAAAAGAAUUACAAAUGAAUCCUAGAAACUUACAAAGCACACCCUGUGAUUUUAUAAAAUAGUGUCCCCAGUCCCCAGUUCAUUGAAUUAACUAAAACAAUUUCGAAAUAAUGAUUAUUAGUAUAAAAAUAAUUCCAAUAACUUACAAAAUUCAUAACUCCUUUGUUUUAACCCCGAUUUGAUCCGUUCAAAUUGCACUAGAUCCAUAAUAAUUUUGUCUACGUAAUGCAACACUGAUUUAUGCCAUAUCGCAUACUUUUAUAAAUGGAAAAUCAUUUAACCUAUGUAUGGUAGAUUAAUCUAUCUAAUUAAAGUAAUAUGUUUAUAAUUAUAAUGUGAUGAACUUUAACUAAGAUAGGACCCAUAUUAAAAGUUAAUCCUUAAGGUAUAUCUCACAUGAUUUAUAGAAUCAAUGUGAGGUCUAGUUUUACUUAUUUAAUCAUAGAUCUUCCAUAAAUCAUAACUCCUUAACCGUAACUCCGAUCUUAGUAGUUAUCGAACACACGAUCUCGUAGCAUCGCGUAGGAUGUUCUUACGCAGUUUGUUUUUAUGUUUGGUGUAAUGUUAAUUUUGCCUAUACCCUGUUUAUUUGUAUUGCUACGACUAGCGCGAGGAUACGAAUCACUUGAUCACUCCUUUUUGUCCUGGGAUACCUGGGAUCUCAUGUCCCAGGCAAGUUGUGCCCUUGAUCACUCCUUUUUACCUAAUAAUGUUCGUUGUUAAUCACUGUGACAUGCUUAGGUUAAUUUGAUAGGACCUAAUAGGUUUCCCUAGCAUUGUUUAUCCCUCACCUUGCAGACAUAUGAAUUAUUGGGUAGAUCUGCUAUUGCUCUACCUGGUUUUGGGAAACUAAUGUUUCACUAUGAUCAUGUUCUAAUUAUGUUGUUGUUUAAUUAUUGUUCAUGAUAAGAUCAUAUUAUUAAUUGGAACAUGAAGAACCACCUGUGAAAACAGUGCUACCACAAGGGUGGUAUGGGACGCUCUUAGCUGACUAAUUAGGAAAGCUAGUCUUACCCGAAAGGGGCAAGGGCAGUAGGGGAGUGGUCAGUGUGGGGAGGUCCUUGGGUUGAUUUUGCUGUGAUGGCGGUCAUGCGAGGGAUCCCUGCAUUGGAGCUUCCUAGAAACUGUAGCGAGUUUUCUGAAACUAGUGGAACUUUGUAAAGGCCUCGUAGUGUUACCCUGCCUCGUUUCCUUGGUACAGGUUUAUGGGAUUCAUGACCCCUUGGCAGAUGGGUAACACGACUUGUGGGUAAAGAUGUGCAACCUCUACAGAGUGUAAAACCGGUAUAUCAGCCAUGCUCAUGGUCAUGAGCGGCUCGGACACUCACAUGAUUAACUUAUGGAAUUAAACUUAAUUUGUCAUAUGCAUUGCAUCGCGGGUGUUGUUAUCAAUUUUGAUCUAUUACUUAUUUGGGUUGGUAUCUACUUACACUUAGUAAUUGCUAAUAAAAUUUUGACCAACUUUAAAAAGCAAUGUUCAGCUUUAACCAUCCUCUUUGGUAAGCCUUACACUUCACAUGAGCUCCCACCUUUGGUGAGUUCAUGCACAUUAUUCCCCACAACUUGUUGAGCGAUGAACGUAUGUGAGCUCACCCUUGCUGUCUCACACCCCCACAGGUCAAGUACAGGUACCGCAAGAUGGGGCACAUGGAGAAUGUCGUGACGAGUUCGUUAGAGGUCUAGGCCGUCGUCUCCCAAUCAACUUUGGGUUGUUGGAUCGUUGUCUCCAUAUGAUGUAAUUAUUUAUUUAUUUUUUACAGAACUUAUAUUAUAUAGUAAAGAUUUGAUAUUCGUUUCUGUACCAUGAGUCAUCAUAUGUGUGAGACUUUAUCUCAGCACACUUGGUGAUUAUUUCGUGCCCGGGUCUUGGUGCCCCUGAAACCCGGGUGUGACUGAAGUGGUAUCAGAGGGGAUGUUGACUAUAGGACGAAAUCUAGAUAGAACUGGAUAACCCCUACCUACUUACCUUUGCUACUCUGAUUCUUUCUAAACUUUUCUUAAUCUUUUCUCAUCUGUUGCCGCUUUACUCUGAUUACUCUUACCUUUUCGCUUCUAAAGACAAAAGUGGAUUUCACACUUUGAAAUCAUGUACCUAAAGUGACCUUUAGGAAUAGGAGACCUACUCUUAGGAACAAAAACAAAACUAUUUUUUAUUGGUAUCUAUGUACUUGAAUGUUUGUUCUUAUGAUACUUGUCUGAUUUGAAUCUUUGAUUGAGUGUGAUGGGUUGUGGAGUAAUAUCCGCAAGUACAUCUGCAUAUACACAUAAGCAAAAUAAUAAUAAUAAUAAUAAUAAUAAUAAUAAUGCCUCAUUUUGUAUUUUGAAUUCCAAAACUUGUUUAUUUCAUAUCUUUUGCAUAUGAACUCCAAAUUGGGUGGUUCAAAUUGCAAAAUGUUCAUAAGAUUAUUCUCUACCUGUUUAAAUUAUUAUAUUUCACUCUAUGCAUGUAUUAAUUUUAUGUCUAGGCUAUAGGUGCAUUUAAAGUAAUGGUUUAUUAUUUAAAGGGUAAUGAAAAGGAAAACACUAAUGACAAAUAAGUGAUUAACUUUGUGAGGUUAAUAUCUUGUAAUGUAUGAACCCAUCCUUAGUAUAAUUUUAAUAAUUCAUUAAGAUAAAUGAUGUUAAGUUAUGCGAUCCCUGAGAUAGGCAGUACUUAGAGAACCACAAAACCCUAGGUGUAAUUGCCCACCUUAGAACAUAGAUUUCACUCUUGUGUUUAUACUUUUCUUUUAAACUUGUGUUCACGUGAUUGUGCAUGUUUGGUGUACUAUUUCUUUGUCGUUUUCCAAAUGUGGUGAAUGAAUGAUUGCUUUGCGUAGACAACGAACAGUCCGAGGUUUCCGAGUGUGUUGCAGGAGACAUCCCUAAGCAGCAACCUAGUGAAGGCAAGUGUCCUCUGACCCAUUAUGUCCUACUUACUUUAUAAUUCAUUGUCCUGCUUUACAUAAUUAAAAUCUAAGGAUUGACUAGCUUUAAAAUAACCCCAACCCCAGGUUCUCCCCAUUGCAAUCAGUGCUCAAGAGGAGAUGAAGGUAACAUGGAGGACUUUCAAGAGUUUUAGGACUACGAUGAGUUCUAGUCGUGUUUAAUGGCAAACCCCUAGUCAGCUGCCUGUGAAGGCCUUAUCUUCUACGUUUCGUAUUUCAUACUUUGAUUAUGAUAAUGUUUAUGUUAAGUUAAUGACUAUGUGGAUGUCUUGGACAUCUUGAUUAAUAAAGUACUAUUUCUGCUAUUUAUUUUGAACAAUGUGUGAUAAUGUCCAACUAUGUAAUCGUUGUGUACGUGAAUUUCUGAUCCUGGCAUGUACAUGGUUCGCAUUCGGUUUGCCUUCUAAAACUAGCUGUGACAGGUAUAAUGCUCCAUGCACCAAGGGGUCCCGUUUAUAGCCCCAAGGGACCUAGGAGCUGUUGGAGCUCCAUUUGGUAGGCUUUGGUUGACUUCUGUCCGCGGGUGCACCGUCCUGUCCGGUGCACACCAGACAGUGAAUAAUGCACUGGCAGAGAAUCGCGUGAUUGGUUGGUUUCCUGUUCUGGGGGGCACCAGACUGUCCAAUGCACCAGGUAACCAUUGGCCCUCGGCCGACAUGGCAACUAGUCGUUGGCCAACUAGCACACCAAACUGUCUGGCGCUCUGCAGGGACGGUCCAGUGAAUUAAAGCCACCGUGGGCUAAAACUCCAGAGAGCAGGCAGUUGGCCGGACCAUACACUGAACUGUCCCAGUGGGUAGCACCGAACCAUCCAGUGCUCCACAGUCCCGCACAACUUCUCCUUUCUCUAUCUUGUUUUCUUUUGCUCCUUUUGACUUGACUUCAUAAAGUCCCUAACACUUAGACAAAUAUGAUUAGUACCAAAAACAAUUGACUAAGUGUCCAGAUCUUACCUUUUUCACUUGGUCCCAUAUAGAUUUACAUUAUGACUUCUUUCAAGCUCAAUUUGCUUGAUGUACCUUUGUUCAUUUCUCAUGUUAGUCUAAACACAAUGUGUUGAGCAUCUAAUCACCAAAACAAUAUAUAAAUGGUCCAAGGGCACAUUUCCCUUUCAGCAUGUCUAUUAGUUUGGUGCACGUCAACUUUCUAAAAGACUAAAAGGCAACACACGUCCACUUGGUAUUGAUAUGCUUGUUUCAGCUUUUACUUGCUCUCGUUUAUGUUGGUUUCAGUGUUUUUCUAAAUUAAAAUUAAUGAAGUUGAAGUAAAAUUUAUGUUGUAUAACGAUGCAACAAAGACUUACUGAUUUGGUCACAAUUGCACUUGAAAUAAAGUGCACUUUUAGAGAAGAUUGAAUAUGAUCAUAUAUCUGAAGAGUUCAUUUCAAGAAACACUAAAAGAAUAUUGUUGUUUAAAUGAAGAGUUCAAUAAUAGAUACGUUGUAUAACGAAAACAAUGAAGUUUGUUCAUCAUGCAAGUAUGUCCAAAGCAGGACAUCAAAAGGCACUUGAUACAUUAGACGACCUGGUCCGAGUUUUGUCAAGAAUAGAACCUGAUAUUGGUGUGAUGACAGUGACGACGGUAUUGAUUGUGAUGAAAAUCAGUUGAUGGGUGAACUUUGAACUAUUUGACUUCAUAUAUAUUAAGUAAGUAAUAAUUUAAUAUGUCAAUUAUGAGUGCAGGAGGGGGAUGUAUUUACUGGGGGUAUGGGAUCAGGCAGUCAAACUGAACAAGCUGAUCAAAAUGUAAGAAACUUAUGUGUUACAUAACUAAUUGGAAUAAAUUUUGGUUGUAAUAAUGCUGGUAAUGUUUAUUGUAUUAGAUUAAGUCUGUGUUGCAGGUGGUUGGUGAUGAAAACGUGGGUGAUAAAGCUGGGUGUGAGCCUGGUGCAUCAAAUGCUUUAGUAAGAGUUGAACAUGUAAGAAUUUAUGCAUUAUAAUAAUUGCAUUUAUGUUAAAUACAAUAGUAAAUUAUGUAUCUCUAAUAUGGUGACAGGAUGGCGUUCGCAAAAGUAAAAUGCUGGGAGGUGAACCCCUUUUGCGUGGAGGAAUUGGAAUAGAAGAUUGGGGUGGUUGCGAAACAGACAAACAAUCUAGGAAGGUAAUAAACGAGAAUACAAUGUUAUAUAGAUAACAACUAAUAUGUUGAAGGGCACAACUGAGUUGUAUGAUGUAAUAAUGUGCAUAUUAUUUUAUUGUGCAGAAGCUAGAUUUUAACAUUGGAGGAGUGAGUAUGGAUAAACCAAUAAAUGAGAAACCAAAAGGAAGAAUGAUAAGAAGUGAUGAGGUAAGGACUGUAAAAUUAGGCGCCAAAGGAGAAAAAAGAUGAACAGAAGGUGCAAGAAGUGUGGGGUUGCAGAUGGUCAUAAUAGCAGAACCUGCCUUUCAGUUGAAGAAAAUAGAGUUCGUUUGGUAAGCCUUGCUAACCCAAGAAAAAAGGGCGUCCACCAGGGUCGAGGAACAUUAAUACAUCGAGAGAUCCCGAAUGGAAUGAAACAACUACUUCAAAGAAGGAUGCGAUGAGUGUAGAUACGACUGAUGAGUCUUAUAGUGAAAUUUAAUUGUACUUGAGUUGGAGGGCUUGUUGAUUACUGUUAAAAAUUUAUGAGAUGGAUAUAAAAUGGAUAAUAAUGUGGUUCAAUAUGGUUUGCUGUUGCGCUAUUAUUUGGUAAAAACGUAAAUGCCAUCGAAAUAUACUAAAUCGCAUAUAAAUGUGAUUGUAGUUGAAUGAAGAUUGAUUGUGAGAAAUAUAUGUUUGAAUGUAGUAUUUCGUAAAUAAUAAAUAUGGCUACAUAAUAAGGAGUAUUAACCUACAUAAUAAGAAGUAUGAUCAUUCGUAAAACUAGAGAGGAAAACAGUGUAAUUGGCAUAGUGAUAUGGUUUGUAUAUCAUAAAAAGAUGUUUAAAGUCUCAGAAUUAGUUAAAGCAGGUAUACUUUUAUAAAUAUUGAAUGCAUUUUAUUGGGAUGUUGCAUAGACAAUGUAGUAGCUGUCUAAGACAUAUAUAAAUAUUUAAUAAAAUAUGAGCUGAAAACAUGAACAUAAUAGGAAACAAUUGGUACAUGUAAUUGGAACAGGUAGCUUAGAUUUAGAUGAAAAGACAUUAACAUAAUGUCAUACGACAUUUAAGAUGUUCAUGACGAGAAAACCCAGAAUCCAACAACCAAAAGGCUAGUGUUAUGAGAACAGUUGACACAGAAUGCCUAGUGUUAUGAACACACUUGUGACAAUUGACACGCAUUGUAGUGUUUCAGCUUCCUAAAAGCAUAAAUAUUACAACUGAAUUUAGUCUACACAGAUGCUUCAUUAUGGCGUUCAUAUCUGAACCUCAGAAUAUCAGUUGGAAAUGGUUUGAUCUUGUUCAGACUGUGGAAUGUCAGAUAGUGUAGAAGAGUAGCACGGUUCUCAAGGGAUAGGUCCUGCAAGACAAGUAUUCGUGUCAGAAUAAAAGUAAAGUUUUAAAUGGAUGUAUAUUAAAUGUCAAAAUAUCAGUUAGAAUACCGUAUCAAUCUCAUCACGCAUAUACCCUUCUGCAUAUUCAUAAAAGAUUAUGAAUCUGGUGACAAAGAAGCCACAAUCGUUUGAGCCUACUGGCAUAGUUGGACAGUCUUUAACAAGACCGAUCUUGAAAUUCCCAAAUUUAGGAAUUGUUGACUUUGGCCUAGCUAGUUGCAUUCCCAUGUUGAGUCGAGACAUCAUCAGUCUGGACCAAGUAUACUUUUUCUUCUGGAAGGUUAUGGUUUCAUUAUGAUAAUGUUUCCAGGUGGUACCGCCAACUGCAGGCCCAUACGGAUUUGAGUCUAAAAUAUCUAUACAACGCAAAUGGAAGUUGACAACAUAUAAUGUCUAGUGUCCCCGGCAUAGCAUUGGUAUCAUUAACUGGAUGUGAAAAGAUAUUAACAAACAGUUCGGUAUGGAAUACUAAAAAAUGAAUAGAGUAAACAUGAUUAUGAACUUUAAACAAAAUGCAAAGUAAUAAGUGAUGUGACAUAUGCUUUUGCAUUUAUGUAACUCGUAGUCCGAAGGAGGAGUGCGAGCCAGGUAAUCAGAUACUAUACUUAUUUGAAAUGCCUGAGGAUCCUUGCUGCGUAGCUCUCACUCUUCGAUGUUAAUGGUAGUCCGAAGUGAUGUUACAAAUAUUGUCAUUACAAAUGUGAAUUACAUGUGGCUAAUAUUAAUGUACAACCUUGUUGUUAUAAUGGAUAAAAACAAAUAUAGUUGCGUAAAACUUAAAUGAAUGUUGCAUAAAUAUAUAUAUAUAUAUAUGUGGUAUACUCAAUUGUAUAAUUUGAAAUGGAAGCAUGGGCAUAUAUUUGAUUUGGCUUUAGCAGUACCAACUAACCAUAAAAUUGUAAUGGCUAAAAGUAUAUGAUGAUAUGUUAUUAAAUUAUAUUUAAUAAAAAACAUACCCCAACGUUGACAUCAAGAAUUACAAUGUCCGUGAUAGGAUCAGGACUGUACGAGGCAUGCUCUGUCCGAACGCAGUCAUUCAAACCCUACAUGAAGUAAUUGUCCAAGCACAUCCUUUCAGAGAAUGAUUGAUAUAUGUCAAGGCAUGAGCAGGGAAAUGAUCCAAUGUGCAGGAUGGUCCUGGGAAGGAAAUUUGAUGUAUAUAAUAUAUUAGUAUACCCUAUAAAAAGGAUUGUGGGGUGAACCUGAAAAAAGUGUUGUGCAGGUCAUUAAUUUUAUACAUAACUUAAACCAUGUACCUGCUCUUAUCA
rnacentral:lncRNA from 1 species